AAGUUUAAUUUGUUUAAAAAAAUAGAUUUAAAAUUUUGACAUUAUUUCAAAAUUUUGAUGUAAAUUUUUAAUAUUUAAUAUUUAAUUUGAAUUUAAAUUAAUAUAUUAUAAAGAUAACGUUAGUAUAUUAAUUUGAUUACGUUUUUAAUAUCCACCUGAACCAAACACCGACAAUAGGAAUGAUUUAUUUUGAUUCCGAUUCAGGUGAUGAACCAAACAAAAUUAGGUAAUGAGUCAUUCCGAUUCCGAUUCCAGCUUAUUUUGAUUCCGAUUCCGAUUCCGAUUCCCACGCCGACUUCGAACCAAACACGCCCUAGAUCUCUUGGUGGUACAGUACUGCAAAGCUAGAAUCCAAACAUUCUGCAGAAAAAUAAUUAAUGCUGCAAAUAAUAAUCAGAGCAUUGGAUGCUUCUUCUGUUCCAUCAAAUGAUUAAUUUGGAGACUUUUUUUUCUUAAAAAAUAUAUAUAACAAGCUAAGGUGAGGUAUCAAACUUUUACAUUGGAGAGAUGAUGCAUUGCAAUAUUAUUGCAAUGCAAAGCUUUGGAAGUGAGUUUGCUCACUCAUCAUAUAAGCACAAGAUGAGGGUUGUGAUUAGCGAUGCAAUGGGUACGGAUACUCGAAAUUUUUUUUUCUGAAUUCGAAUCCGAACUGAGAGGAUUUAUUCGAUGCUAAAAAGAUAUAGUUUCAAUAUAUUUCAGAUAGGAUAGUUCGUUUUGUCAAUCUAUAAUUUGGAUAUUUUGUUGGUUCCUUUUUAAGUUUAUCUUUAAUUCAACUUAAUUUUAUUAACUGUUGGAGGAGUUAAAUGGGUACUUAGCCAUAUUAUGAAGGGAAUAUUAGCAAUAUAGAUAGUUUUGAUAUUUUCUCUUAUUUUAAAGGGUAUUUUUCACAUUGGCAAUUUUAGAAAAGCUUUGGAUAAUCAGGGACGAACGAAAGUAGGGAUGUCAAUGGGUCGGAAUAAAGACGGCUUUUCAAAAAUCCGAACUCGAACUCAACUAUCGAAUCCGAAAUCUGAACCCGAACCCGAAUCUAAAGAAUUUUAAAAAUUCAUAUCCAAAUCCGGAUCUGGCCAAAAACCCGAAACUCGAACUCAAAUCCGAACCCAAAAACCCGAAUCCGAAAUAAUUAUUUUUCUUUACAAUAUUUCAAUACAUAUUACAUUAAAUCUAAAUUUUUAAAAUAUAAGUUCAAAUAUAGCAUCAAACAUUUAUAUAUAUUAUAUAACUUUAAAAUCAAUUCAGUUUCUGGUUGGGUUUGGAUUCGGGUUAGGUACAGUCAAAAUCCAUACCCAAAUUCAAAUCCGUCAAAUUUUCGUUUUUGAUAUCCAUAUCCGAAACUAUUUAUGUUUAGCAUAGAGUAAAUUCGCUCUAUUUGGAUUUGGGUUCAGAUGAAUUUUCGAAUAUUCGUAUCCAUUGACAUCCCUAAUUUACAAAAAUGUACUUCUAAAAUUAACCCAAAUGUUUAUUACCUUAUUAUAUCCAUGUUGAGUGGCCUUGGACUUGUCACAUAUAUGAUGGAAAUUGGUAACUUAAGUGCUCCAUUUUCUCUACUAUAUGGGCCAAGUUGGGGGCUUCCAAUUGGGCUUGAGAAAAGAGAAUAAAGAACUUGGGCUUGCCAACAUUGAUUAUCUAUUUAAAUACUCAAAUUGAAUUUGUAAUAAUGAUAUGUUUAAUACUCCAAACCUCUUAGAGUGAAGCCUAUAAAAGAAGAGGAAAAAAAGAGAAAGUAAAAGGGAUAUGGUUGUUUAAACAAUAAAUCUAUGCAUGUGAAAGUUAAGUUUCCUCAACUUUUUGCACGAACAGAGUUAUUUUUUUGUAUCAACUGAUUGAGUUUUGAUUAUUUCAACAGUUGGUAGAAAUAUUAACCUUCAGUAUAUAUAUAUAUGAUGUAGGGCUGUCAACAUGUCGGUUCCGGAGUGUUUCUGGCAAAAUGCUAAGCCGAAUCUUAAUAAAAUUAUAAUUGAAUUCGAACUCAUUGGAUUUUUAUUUUUUAUACUCAAAAUUGAAACCUUAUUCAUUUCGUAUCGGUUAAACUCAUCCUUAUUAUGAUUCAGGUUGGGAUAAAAUCUCUUAUAUCCAUCUCUAUUGACAUUGAUGUGACUAUUAUGUCACUUUUAUAUAUAUAUAUAUANNNNNNNNNNNNAUAUAUAUAUAUGUUCUAGAAGAGAAUCUCCUUUCGGGCUUUUAAUUAGGACCUAGUGCCCCUAUCUAUUACAAAGGCAACAAAUAAAAAAUAAAAAUAAAAAUGUUUAAAAAUAAAAUAAAAUUUUUUCUAUGUAAUUGGAUGGGUUGGACUUGGCUCCACUGCUUUAAAAUCAUUUGGAGAGAAGCCUUUGACACAUGGCUGGAAACUAUGGAGUAAUAAUAUCCAACAUGCAAUCCAAAUCCACAAGCUUCUCUCACAGGUGGCUAAAUAUUAACAACAUAAAAUAAAUAAAUAAAUAAAUAAGUUAGGGAUGUGCCAAUACUAAUUGACAACAUGCAUGAUUCCCCAACUUGCUUGAAAAGAAUAGGCCAAGUGAAAAUUUUAUGAAUAAAAAAGAGAAAAUUUUAAAGAUUAGAAAUCCAAGCUGUUGGCUCGGAUUCUCCGUUAGAACUUGACCUCCUAAAACACGCCAUGUUCGGCCGCUUAAUUCGGACCGAAUUUGGAUGAGCGCGACUCAGAUACAAAUAAAUGGUCGAAUCAUGAAAUCUCCGUGGUAGUUCUCUUAACAGAUACUAAUAAAUGGUCGAGACCGCCUGCCUCAACUUUCAUCAAUGGCUAAAACUUCGUUCUCUUGAUUUGAAAUUAUCUUUUGCCAAAUGUUGAGCGGCCAAGAUCAUCCGUCACCCUUUCAAUCCAACGGCCGAAAUUUCGCGUCAACAAGUCUGUACUGUCUGUUUGGACUAGCUUCUGAAGCAGCUUAUCUAUUACUUAUAGAAAUGAAUAGAUAGAUGUCCAAGGAUAUAUAAGAAGUUAUAAGCUUUUCGAAGAAUUUGAAGCAAAAGUUUGUGUACCAAAUUUGGAAUAUUUUACUCAAAUAGUUAUACGCAAACUCCACGGCAUGGGACAUUGUCUAGCAUGAAGCCCAACAAACUCUCUAUGAUCCCUAAUUUAAGGAUGUUAAUUGACCCCACGAAACCCACCUAACAUGAUCCAAAUCCAACAAACCUAUUAUAUUUGGAUCCUACCUUUUAUCCUAGGCUCAAUUCAAGUGAGCUGAAAUAAUAUAUUUACAUAAUACCUUCUCGCUUUUGCACUUAGGUCUUAUAAAUAUACUAAUCCGACCAGCUGAUACCUUUAUCCGCAAUUCACGUUAAACAUAUAGAACAAUUUUUUUUUUAAGGAAAAGAAAUAAAUACUUUUAAUGAACUUUAGUAAUGUGACAUUAGCCCCACUUUGGUUUCCUUAGCAAGUGAAAUGCACUACAUCUUAGGAGGCCAAUAAUUUGACACCACACAAUUAAUUCCCCCAUAAUCACCAAAACCUAUUGGCCCUUUUUUUUUAUAUUAUUAUUAUUAUGUCCCUUUGGGCAAACUCUUCUUUCAUCUCUUGUGUAGGCCACUUAACAUUUUAUUGACCAAUUUUUCCUUUUUGUGGAUUCCAAAGGGGAUUUGGUGACAACACAACAAGAUCAUGAUGGUGACUUGCUUCAUUAGUGGAUUGGUCUCUCUAUUUGUGGGAUAUUUUUUUCUUUUUUUUUUUUUCUUUUUUUUAAUUUGCUCAUCCACCACUUGUAGUGCAUCUAAGAUUUGGAGGAUCAAAGAAAAAGUUUAGUUCAAGAUUCCCCACCAAUCUUAUCUCAAGCUUCAUAUGUAAACCUAUCCUUAGCAGAUAAUCAAGCAAAAAGGUAGAAUUUUUUUUUUUUUUUUCACUAGCAAAGUAUUUGGGCCACAAUAUUUCAUUAAUUCCUAACAAAAAUUUAGGUUUUAAGCAUUCAUAUUUUAGAUCGGUAAAAGCAUACAAAACUUAUCUGAACUAUAAAUCAUUUUGAAUCGGCUAUCUAAUCUUUAAAAAUUUUAAUUUUUCUACCAAACUUUCGAAAUUAUUAGAUUUGAGUCAAUCAAUAACACUGACUUUAAAAUUUAAGUUAAUUACUUAUGUUAAUGAACUUAUAGUUGCGAAAAUUGUAUAAAAUAUAGUAAUUAAAUCUGUAAAAAUAACAAUAUAUUUAAAUUUUAAAGUCAAAGAACUAUUGACUAACUCAAAUCAAAUUAAAUUAAAAGGUUGGAUAGUACGUAAAAUCAAAAUUUUGAAAGAUUAGGUAGCUAUUUCAAAAUAGCUCACAAUUUAAAAGAAGUUCAAUACGUUUUAUCUUAAUAAUAUGAGAGCCACGCAGGCGGCAAAAAUGUUGAUAGUUGGUACCUGAACUUUCAAGUUUGAAGUCUAGUUACUUUAUAUUUUUAGCUAAAUUUAUUUCUAAAUAAAUAAAAAAAAUAAAUAGCAUCUACCUUUUUUAGAAAAAGAUAAUGUUGUCAUGAGGGCCCAAUCCCAAUAUCUUUUGAAAUACUAUGGGAGCUCAUAUCUCUCUCUCUCUCUCUCUCUCUCUCUCUCUCUAACAAAUGCUUGGGAAUCACUUUAUAAAAAGGUUGCUUAAAGAGUUGGCCACAAUGGAGAACCAACACAUUUAGCACAUGAUAUGUCUAAGGCAUCUCUAUGAUCUCUAUAUAUCUUAUUUAGUGGAUAAACCAAAAUUAAUCAACCAAGAUUUCUCUCUCUCUCUCUCUCUCUCUCUCUCUCUCUCUCUCUCUAAUAUUAAUUAUAUAUAUAUCUAUACUAUAUAUAAAGUCGUAUAUUCAAAUUUGGGUCUGUCGACAGACUAUUUUUCGCGGAAAAAUUAGUGCUCAUUUUUCUCUUUCCGUAAAAAUUUUAAUAUAAGAAUAAAAAUAGAAUAGAAACGCAAUGAAUAGUAAGUUCUCAAUAACAAGAUUACUGAUGUAUAAAAUCCUAAAAUAUAAAUUUUUCUAUUUAAUUUAAAAGUAAGUUUUCUAUAACAAAUUAGGGCUGUAAAAAUCUAUAAAAGAUAGUUUUCUAUUUUAUUUUAAAUAUCUUUUUUAGAUAUUAUCUAUUUAAUUUCAAAAUAUAUUUUCUUUUUAAAUAACGGAUUUUAUUUUUCUAUUUAAUUUCAAAUUUAUUUCCUAACAGAUUUUAUUUUUCUAUUUAAUUUCAAAGUAAUUUUGCAUAGAUAUUGUUAAUUAUUUAUCAUUUAAAGCAUAAUCUUUCUUAAUAGCUGAUUUAUUAUUUAAAUUUUUUAGAUACAUAUUUGGGAAUCAAUUAAAAUAUGGCCUAAAAUUAAAAAAUAUUUAAAAAAUUAUAACUUUUCUAAUAAUUAUACGUGUAUUUGCACGUACAUUUUACGUGUGUAUUAUAUAUAUUAUUUAUAUUAAUAUAUUAUAUUAUAUAUUAUAUUAUAUAUAUAUAUAAAUUGCACUAUGUAGGAAGAGAAUCAAGUCUAAGUUGAUUUUGUUCAAAGGUGGUGGAGCAUGGAAUAUAUGCACCUUUGUUGUUUCCUAUGUUUUGCUCUAACAUUCAUUCGUUUACUUUUAUGAGUAAACAUGUGAAAUAUUAGUAGAGGCGUGCAAUUUUGACCGAUUUUUAUAUUGACAUUUUUGCUUUUUUAUCGCUAACUACUAUUCAAAAUUUUUAAAUUUGUUUUAAAAUUACCAAAAUUAAUGCUCUUCUUAUUCCCAAAUCCUAUUAGUAAAUUUUAAAAGUUUGAAAAUAUUUAAUUUUUUUAAAAAAAUCAAUAAGAAUAUUUUGAUCAAUCAGGAAUAUAUUAGAUAUUUUUAAAGUUUUGAAGGGUAUGUUAGAUAUUAUCUUUUUUACCUUUUGUUUGAAAUCAUCCAAAUAAACAUUUAUGCCUCUAGAGUAGAAAAGGUUGCUUAUUAUUAAAUUGACUUUUCCGAUAACAUGGUAUCUGAGUUAAUCUUAAGUUUUUCAUUUUUAGGAUGUUCCCGAAGUUUUAUCUAAACCUGAAUUCAAAUUGGAUGGGUUUACUCGAAGCUCAACAGAUAUAAAUUCAAAUACGGGGAUAAAAAAGCCAAUACUGAUAAAUGAUAGCGGUUCCCUAGGGUUGAGUGGGUGGUUGGUUAAAUAGUAUGAUUUGAUGGAUGAAAAUGAUUAAUGGAAUAAAUCUAAGGGUCGAAAAAUUAUGAGUAUAAAAAAGUCAAUACUUAUAAAAGUAUAGUAGUCAGACUAUAUAUAUAUAAAACUAUAUAUAUAUAUAUAUAUUUAGUUUACACCUAAUUAACCCAAUUUCAAACCCCAUAAGAAUUUGAAUUAGUUUCACAUUAUGUAAUAUAUAUAUGAAUACUUUGAUGGUAUAUUUGAAUUUAUAUUUAGAUUUUAAUUUUAUAUGCUUCUAAAUAUGGUAGGAAGAAAAAACUAUUAUGGGUUUUAAGUUUUCGAGUUCGAAAUUGGAUUUUGGAUUUUUGAUCAAAUUCAGUUUUGAACAACAAUUUUCAAAAUCCUUCCGGUUUGAAUUCGGAUUCAAAUUUGAUUAUUGAUUUUGAAUUCAAAUUUUUAAAAAUUCGUCCCGAAUCUGUCCUGUUGACAUCUCUAGUAAAAAAAACAUGCGCACGCGCACACACACAUUUAGUACUAAUUCUCCUCAAAAAAAAAACAAGGGGGAAAGGAAAAGGCAAUGCAUGCAAAGGGGCCAAAGACAAGAAGAACACAUACAAAAGCAUAUUUAAUUGAACAUAAGUCCUAGUAAUCUAGGCCUUAUCUAGCUAACAACAAGGUUAAUAUUUUACACAUUUAACAACAAGGUUAAUAUUUUACACAUUUAUUUCCUUUUCAUUAGAUGGAAGGUACCAUCAUCCUUGGCUUAACAAAAGCAACAAGCAACCACCCAUUUUGGAAUCAUCACCUUGACUUGCCAUGCCCCUAAAACAACAUAACUAAUGAGUGUUGAACCUAAUAAUAAUAGAAUAAUAGAGGAAAUGACAAGCCACACACACACCCAUAUUCACAAAGAUAUUUUCAAGGUACAAAGUGGAUGGCAUUAAUAAGUAUUAGGUUGUUUUUCACUUUCGCUAUUCAGGACUUUUUUGGUUCACCUACGAUUAUAAAAUCGAAAUAAAAUUCAUUCAUUUUAAUAGUUGUUGUUUAUUUUACAUAGAUUAGAGUUCGAUUUUCAUUCCAUUUUGGAAUAGAAAUGAUCAAAUCUAACUUUGAAUUUUGAGUUGGCCUAUUCUAUAGUAAACCACUGGAACCCUCUCCCACAAGUACCUCCUCUUCCUUCAUCACUCUUUUCUUUCUAAAUCAAAAUCUAGACGUCACAUACACGGAGAAGAGAUACAGAACACGAUACAAUUCGAACAUGGCGAUUCAAUAGUUUCCAAAAUUAGGAUACGGAUAUAGAGAUAAUAUGAAUAUCGCUAAUAAACUAUAAAAUUAUUAAUAUAAAUAUAUAUAUAUUAUAUUUAAAAUAUUAAUUUUACUAAAAUACUUUUAUAUUUCUCGUAUGAAUUAAAGUUAAUAACAUUCUCAUUGAUAAUUUAUACAAUUUUAGAAAAGAAAUUCUUUACUAUACAUAAUUUAUUUAUAUUGUUCAAAAAAAUUUUAUAUCCAUUUAUUAAAAAUUUAAAAUGUUUAUUAUCUUACAUUGUAUAUGCAUAAAAAAGUAAUAUAUAUAUAUAACAUGGUGCUUGUAAAAGCACCAAGUACUUGGUGCUUUUAAAUUUUUUACCGUUAGAUCUACAUUUUUUAUCAUUUUCAACCGUUAGGUUAUACUAUUCAACCAACCACAUACUCAACCCUAGAGAGUCCACAUCAUCCUAACCGCACAUCUCUUAAUCUAAUGGCCAAAAAUCUACAAGCACCAAUAACUUGAUACUUUUAAAUACUAAAAUAAGUCCGGAUAUUACAUUAUUCCAUAUCUCAAUAUAUAUCCAAUUUGUAACGCAAAAAAUAUAUAAAAGUUUAGAUAAAACGAUAUCUCCUGUAUUGCUAGUACUAUCAAAAUUGUGCAUGAUAGUAAUUUAUAUGAUUUUUAUUACAUUACUAAUCAAUAACUUUAUCUGCAAAUUUAUUUUUAUAAAAUUUCAUAAUUGAAUUCAAUAAUUAUCCAAAUAGCUUGACCAAUUUGAAAUAAUGAUAAAGUGCAGAGAGAUAAUUGAUAUAUUUUUUUUAUAAAGAAAAGUAAUUGAGAUAAGCACUAAAGUGUUAAGAAGACUUUUUAUAAUUUAGCUUAAAUGGAAAGGCAGGUGUUCUUUGGAAUAUACCUGACCAGUUAGCAGGUAUAUAUAUAGGGUAGAAUUAAUUAUGGCUAGAUGUUAGGCUGAUCACAUUAGGGUUAGCAAUUUAGCCCGUUAUUCGCGAGCUAGCCCAUGUUCGGCUCGAAAUAAUCUCGAGAUUGAUCGCUCAUUUUAAUAAACGAGCUAAAGAAGAGCUGAAAAUCUUAAUGAGCUCGCUCGUGUUCGUCUCUCUCUCUCCCCCUCUCUCUCUAUGUAUAUAUAUUUGGAUGAUAGGCCAACCCAAAUGUACAAAAACCUAUAUUUUAUAAAUUUUAAUUAUUAGAUUAAAAUUCUAAUUUUCUUUCAAACUUUUCACCCAAUAGUAGAUCUGACGAUCUAGUUAAUUUGCUGUUGUGAGCCGGUUCAUGUUCGGCUCGUUAAUAAACAAGCAGAACACGAGCUGAAUUUUUCAGCUCGAUAUUUUACCAAGUCAACUCGUGUUCGGCAUUGUUUGAUAAACGAACGAACACAAGCCGGCCCAACUCACUCGUAUUCAGCUCGUUGACUGUCCUAGUUAACAUAUUAAAGAUCUUCUACUAAUUAUCUUCUGCUCAGGCACAAUUAUUAAGUCUAACCUAUCCAACAUUAUAUACCGCAAUAUCUAAUCACAGCUAUUAAAUAUAGAACUAUUCCCAAGCCUUUGGAAUGUCACAAUAAUGAUAGGUAUUUAGUCAAAUAUGCACUAAUGAAUAAUGUGGGGUUUAGUUCAUCCUAUAAUUAUCCAAAACAUAAUUGGCCCCACUUUAGGUUGUAAUGCUAUUUUUUAGGAGAAAUAUUAUAUCAAAGUACUACUUAUUUAUAGAUUUGUUCUACAGCAAAAUUAGAAAUAUUGAAGUAAAAUUAUGAUGCUGAGAUUUGAAAUAUUAUUAUUAUUAUUAUUAUUAUUAUUAUUAUUAUUAUUUUACUUUCUGCUUAAAAACUACAUUUUGUACCAAAUAAUCAGAGGGGGAUAAUAUCUAAUAUAUCCUUCAAAACUUCAAAAUUUUUUUACUUAUCUCGGGAGUACUAAAAUAACCUUAUUGAUUUUAAAAAUUUCUGCAAAUAUUUCUAUUUUUUCUACGGUUUACUAAUGAGAUUGAAUUUUAAAAAAAUAUUUUGAUAAUUUCAGAAUAAAUUUAAAAAUUUUAAAUAGUAGUAAGGAAGAUGUAGUAUCUCUCGAGUUUUGCAGGUGUGAGAUCUCAGCAUCUGAGACUUGUCGACACAUCUGGAGAGUGUCGGAACAAGUCUAAGUCGUUUUGGCACAAAAUAGACGCAAAACGGACUCAGUGUGAUGCCAGAGCAGAAUUUUGGCACUGAAAUCUGUAAAUUACAGAUUGUCAGCAUUGAGUACCGGUACCCCUGUAUAGAAUUUUUUAUUGCUGUUCUUGGGUUGCGAAGGCUGAUACGGUGUACUGGUACGACAUCGGUUUGCUAUCAAUACUCCAGGGUAGGUGAGGGGCCUUUUGGUCUUUUGAUGCACCGUUCAAACCAAGGCUUCCUCAGCCUUUUUAUACGUACAGAGAGCAUGGAGGAGGGGUUUGGCUGGCUGUUUCCUCUCUUUCUCUAGAUUUUGAUCGUGGUGGAGGUGGUGUUCGUGGCUCGAGCUCGGUUCGACGUCGACGGUUGUGCCGGGGAGUCGUUCGAGCGUACGAGUGUCGUGGUAGCACCGUUGGAGGCCGGGCGAGCACGUGUUUCUUCUUCUUCCGAGUUCUCGCCGUCGUGGAUUAGCGUUUCGAGGUGGGUUGAUGUUACCGGAAUUUUCAAAUUUCCUCCUAAGCCUAAUUGUUGUCGGCAUGUGUUUGGCUUCGUAGAGCAUGUUUAGUAGCUCGAUUCGUCGAUUUGCAUUGUUCUUAAAUGAAAUCUGAAUUGGAGCUUAGAGUGCUAGUUUUAUUAUACAUGUUGAACUUGGAUUUGACUUAGGAGAAAACUAUAGGUUCUACAUUGUCAUUUUUUAAAAACUAACAGAUUUAGCUUUAGGAGCUGUAGUUAGUUUGUAUCGCCGCAAUUUGUACGCGGUGGAUAUAAAGAAUUAUGUAGAAUGAAAUUACGCUCUUGCUGGGGUGCCGAAUUUAUUUUUACAGUAGUGUAUAUACUGUUCCGGGCUGUCAGGUGCCGUCGCGGUUGAUGGUUGAUCUAGAUUUCAGUAUUUUUCAUCAGAUUGUGCCGAGGGCACGCGAGUUAUGGUUGUUAGACCAGUUAGACCCUUCUUCUUUGACUAUAGCCUGUGAGAGCCUGAUUGAGCUCAGGAGAGAUACGCUUGCAUACUCGGUUGGGUAGCGCCCACGAGUGCCACUCCGGAGUCGGGCUUUGUGCUUUUGCGUUGUUGUCGGUUUGUCUUGUUUGGACUUGCUCUCCAUUGACGACCCAGUGUGUUGAUAGUAGUGUAGCUUCGACAGGCGGGACGGGUGUGUUCACAGUCCCUAAUGAGAUUGGGUCAGUGAUUGCAUUUUCUACAGAUAGUUAAUAUUGGAUCAUGAUAGUAUAGUAGCAUAUAGUUGUAGAAUUGUUUCAGCUUUCUUUACUAUCCUUGAGCAUACUUCUGUAGAGUUACUGGGUGAGCCGUUGAAGUCGGUAGCGGUACCCACUGAGGACUAUUUCGUUUUGCAGUAGUUCUCACACCCAGUUGUUGAACUCUUUUUGCAGAGUCUUCUUCUUCGGCUGCUGCUAUUGCGGAUACAGAUCAUGAAAAGGGAGUCGCGAGUUAGAUCCCUUCCCGUUUUGUUGCUGAUCUAGAGAUAUACCAGCUACAGGUAGUGUUGGUUUUUGGUUCUUGUACAUACUGAUAUUAGAUCCUCGCUGGAGCAAGUGUUAUGUAUUUGGAGACUAUGUAUGUAUAGAGAACCUGAUGUUAUUUAUACAUGUUUCAGUUUAGCAGAUCUAUACUACUAGUUGUAGUUUUGUAUGAUUACAGGUACAGAUACAGCUAUCGCUUCGUAUAUAGGGAAAAUUUCUUUGUAUAUGGCUGAUUUAUCGGCCUGCCCGGGGAAACGAAUAAUCCGGAAUAUGACAGAAGAAAUAAGCAAAAGCCUCUAAUCUGAGAUACCCUGCAAUUGUUAAAACAGAAGUCAUAUCAAAUUUAAAUAAGACGAUUCCACAUUAUUAAGUGUAGAAAAAAAAAUAUUUUUUUUCUAUGUUCUUUCUUAAGCUUAAAGGUAUAGAAAAUAUACAUAAAUAGAAAAGAAAGAUAGGAGUCUAUUUUUUAAUCCAACUAUAUUAAAACUUUGGGUUUUAAUUAAAUUAAAGCAAGAUCAUCNUAUAUAUAUAUAUAUAUAUAUAUAUAUAUAUAUAUAUAUAUAUAUAUAUAUAUAUAUAUAUAUAUAUAUAUAUAUAUAUAUAUAUAUAUAUAUAAUGAGAUAUGCCAUAAAUUCGUGUCAAAUGCACGUUGACGUGUUCCCAUCGGACACGAGUGUGACACGAACACCCACAUGUCCGACAUGAACAUACAAGGUUUAUAGAAGUACCCAUAAUACAUAAACAAAAAUUCUCUAUCCAAACCCUAGAUGUCUAUCAUGAUAUCUAUUCUAAUAAGGAAUCAAAUAUUUUUAGAUGAUUCGUCAUUCCAUUUUUCAUUCUAAUAUAAUCCGAUUCCAUCUCCUAUUUCUAUUUCAAUAAUAAACCAAACAUGCCCUUAGAACUAUCUUAGGCUUUUCCUUUGCUUGGAAGAUCGAAUGCAAGAUGGAGUAAUGAAAGUGCAAGAUGUGGCAAGAUGGUAUUAAAUUGAAGGCUAACGUCCGGUCUCAAUUACUCUCCUGUAUUAAAAAUUAUAUCAAUUAUCACUUUGCACUUUGUCAUCAUCUCAAAUAGAUUCAAAAAUUAUAAAGAGUAGCAAGUUAGGCAGCAAAACUUUACUAAAAUAAGUCGGGAUAUUACAUUAUUCCAUAUCUCAAUAAUCCAAUUUGUAACGCAAAAAAUAUAUAAAAGUUUAGAUAAAACGAUAUCUCCUGUAUUGCUAGUACUAUCAAAACUGUGCAUGAUAGUAAUUUUUAUGAUUUUUAUUACAUUACUAAUCAAUAAUUUUGUCUGUAAAUUUAUUUUUAUAUAAUUUUAUAGUUGAAAAUUCAACAAUUAUCUAAAUAGCUUGACCAAUUUGAAAUAAUGAUAAAGUGCAGAGAGAUAAUUGAUGUAAUAUUUUAUGAAGAAAAGUAAUUGAGAUAAGCACUAAAGUGCAAGAAGACAUUUUAUAAUUUAGCUUAAAUGGAAAGGCAGGUGUUCUUUGGAAUAUACCUGAUCAGUUAGCAGGUAUGUAUAUAGGGUAGAAUUAAUUAUGGCUAGAUGUUAGGCUGAUCACAUUAGGGUUGGCAAUUUAGCCCGUUAUUCGCGAGCUAGCCCAUGUUCGGCUCGAAAUAAUCUCGAGAUUGAUCGCUCAUUUUAAUAAACGAGCUAAAGAAGAGCUGAAAAUCUUAAUGAGCUCGCUCGUGUUCGUCUCUCUCUCUCUCUCUCUCCCCCUCUCUCUCUAUGUAUAUAUAUUUGGAUGAUAGGCCAACCCAAAUGUACCAAAACCUAUAUUUUAUAAAUUUUAAUCAUUAUAUUAAAAUUCUAAUUUUCUUUCAACUUUUCACCCAAUAGUAGAUCUGAUGAUCUAGUUAAUUUGCUGUUGUGAGCUGGUUCAUGUUCAGCUUGUUAAUAAACAAGCAGAACACGAGCUGAAUUUUUCAGCUCGAUAUUUUACCAAGUCAACUCGUGUUCGGCAUUGUUUGAUAAACGAACGAACACAAGCCGGCCCAACUCACUCGUAUUCAGCUCGUUGACUGUCCUAGUUAACAUAUUAAAGAUCUUCUACUAAUUAUCUUCUGCUCAGGCACAAUUAUUAAGUCUAACCUAUCCAACAUUAUAUACCCCCAUAUCUAAUCACAGCUAUUAAAUAUAGAACUAUUCUCAAGCCUUUGGAAUGUCACAAUAAUGAUAGGUAUUUAGUCAAAUGUGCACUAAUGAAUAAUGUGGGGUUUAGUUCAUCCUAUAAUUAUCCAAAACAUAAUUGGCCCCACUUUAGGUUGUAAUGCUAUUUUUUAGGAGAAAUAUUAUAUCAAAGUACUACUUAUUUAUAGAUUUGUUCUACAGCAAAAUUAGAAAUAUUGAAGUAAAAUUAUGAUGCUGAGAUUUGAAAUAUUAUUAUUAUUAUUAUUAUUUUACUUUCGGCUUAAAAACUACAUUUUGUACCAAAUAAUCAGAGGGGGAUAAUAUCAAAUAUAUCCUUCAAAACUUCAAAAUUUUUUUAUUUAUCUUGGGAGUACUAAAAUAACCUUAUUGAUUUUAAAAAAUUUCUGCAAAUAUUUCUAUUUUUUCUACUGUUUACUGAUGAGAUUGAAUUUUAGAAAAAUAUUUUGAUAAUUUCAGAAUAAAUUUAAAAAUUUUAAAUAGUAGUAAGGAAGAUGUAGUAUCCCUGGAGUUUUGCAGGUGUGAGAUCUCAGCAUCUGAGGCUUGUCGACACAUCUGGAGAGUGUCGGAACAAGUCUGAGUCGUUUUGGCGCAAAAUAGACCCAAAACGGACUCAGUGUGAUGCCAGAGCAGAAUUUUGACACUGAAAUCUGUAAAUUACAGAUUGUCAGCAUUGAGUACCGGUACCCCGGUAUAGAAUUUCUGAUUGCUGUUCUUAGGUUGCGAAGGCUGAUACGGGGUACCGGUACGACAUCGGUUUGGUAUCAGUACUCCAGGGUAGGUAAGAGGCAUUUUGGUCUUUUGAUGCACCGUUCAAACCAAGGCUUCCUCAGCCUUUUUAUAUGUACAGAGAGCAUGGAGGAGGGGUUUGGCUGGCUGUUUCCUCUCUCUCUCUCUAGAUUUUGAUCGUGGUGGAGGUGGUGUUCGUAACUCGAGCUCGGUUCGACGUUGACGGUUGUGCCGGGGAGUCGUUCGAGCGUACGUGUGUCGUGGUAGCACCGUUGGAGGCCGGGCGAGCGCAUGUUUCUUCUUCUUCCGAGUUCUCGCUGUCGUGGAUUAGCGUUUCGAGGUGGGUUGAUGUGACCGGAAUUUUUAAAUUUCCUCCUAAGCCUAAUUGUUGUCAGUAUGUGUUUGGCUUCGUAGAGCAUGUUUAGUAGCUCGAUUCGUCGAUUUGCAUUGUUCUUAAAUGAAAUCUGAAUUGGAGCUUAGAGUGCUAGUUUUAUUAUACAUGUUGGAUUUGGAUUUGACUUAGGAGAAAACUAUAGGUUCUACAUUGUCAUUUUCUAAAAACUAACAGAUUUAGCUUUAGGAGCUGUAAUUAGUUUGUAUCGCCGCAGUUUGUACGUGGUGGAUAUAAAAAAUUAUGUAGAAUGAAAUUACGCUCGUGCUGGGGUGCCGAGUUUAUUUUUACAGUAGUGUAUAGACUGUUCCGGGUUGUAGGGUGCCGUCGCGGUUGACGGUUGAUCCAGAUUUUAGUAUUUUGCAUCAGAUUGUGCCGAGGGCACGCGAGUUAUGGUUGUCAGACCAGUUAGACCCUUCUGCUUUGACUAUAGCCUGUGAGAGCCUGAUUGAGCUCAGCAGAGAUACGCUUGCAUACUCGGUUGGGUAGCGCCCACGAGUGCCACUCCGGAGUCGGGCUUUGUGCUUUUGCGUUGUUGUCGAUUUUGUUGGCCCAGUGGCCCUAAUCAUCUAUUAGAUUUUGAUGAUAACAAAUAAUCACGAUUAUUGGACUAAUCUCUUUAUCUUGAGUCUUGUGUUUUAGAUCUCUCUAUCUUCAAAAAGGAUUCAAGAUGGGCAAUAUUCUGGCACCAAGCUUCACCUCUUGAAGCUGUGUCUGCUUCUUUUGUCAAACAGACAAACUCNGGCGGGGACGUAGGCAAAGUGCCGAACCUCGAAACAAAUUGAUCGUGUGUUUUUCGAGUUUGCAUUUCUUUUAUUUGCAUCGGUUUUUUAAUUUGCUUGAUUAUUUGGAUUUUUAUUUUAGAAACCUAAUUCACCCCCCCUCUUAGGUUGCCAUUUUGAUCCUCAGAUUUGUCUUGUUUGGACUUGCUCUCCACUGACGACCCAGCGUGUUGAUAAUAGUGUAGCUUCGACAGGCGGGACGGGUGUGUUCACAGUCCCUAAUGAGAUUGGGUCAGUGAUUGCAUUUUCUACAGAUAGUUAGUAUUGGAUUAUGAUAGUAUAGUAGCAUAUAGCUGUAGAAUUGUUCCAGUUUUCUUUACUAUUCUUGAGCAUACUUCUGUAGAGUUAGUGGGUGAGCCAUUGAGGUCGGUAGCGGUACCCACUGAGGACUAUUUCGUUUUGCAGUAGUUCUCACACCUAGUUGUUGAACUCUUUUUGCAGAGUCUUCUUCUUCGGCUGCUGCUGUUGCGGAUACAGAUCGUGAAAAGGAAGUCGCGAGUUAGAUCCCUUCCCAUUUGCUGCUGAUCUAGAGAUACACCAGCUAUAGGUAGUAUUGGUUUUUAGUUCUUAUACAUACUGAUAUUAGAUCCUCGCUGGAGCAAGUGUUAUGAAUCUGGAGACUAUGUAUGUAUAGAGAACCUGAUGUUAUUUAUACAUGUUUCAGUUUAGCAGAUCUAUACUACUAGUUGUAGUUUUGUAUGAUUACAGGUAUAGGUACAGCUAUCGCUUCGUAUACAGAAAAAAUUUCUUUGUAUAUGGCUGAUUUGUCGGCGUGCCCGGAAAAACGAAUAAUCCGGGAUAUGACAGAAGAAAUAAGCAAAAGCCUCUAAUCUGAGAUACCCUGCAAUUGUUAAAACAGAAGUCAUAUCAAAUUUAAAUAAGACGAUUCCACAUUAUUUAGUGUAGAAAAAAAAAAAAUUUCUAUGUUCUUUCUUAAGCUUAAAGGUAUAGAAAAAUGAGUAGGGCUAGAAUACUUUUACAAGUAUCACCCAAGUGAUACUUGUGUGUUUUUAGCCAUUGGAUCUACUUUUUGAUUACUAAUAGUCCUUGGAUCAAACACUAUUCUACCUACCACCACCUACCACCAUCAUCUCAACCUCACAUCUCUCCAUCCAAGGGCUAAAAACACACAAGUAUCACUUGGAUGAUACUUUUACAAGUAUUCUAGCUCUACUCUAGAAAAAUAUACAUAAAUAGAAAACAAAGAUAGGAGUCUAUUUUUUAAUCCAACUAUAUUAAAACUUUGGGUUUUAAUUAAAUUAAAGCAAGAUCAUCCUUAUCUAGCAAACUUUAUUAUGUUCACAGUAUCCAAGUACAGCAAACUUAGUAAUUAAUUGGUGACACAAUUUGGAAGCAUCCAAACCCUAGGCACAAAACAUUGAUUACUUCAAUAAAUUCACUUUGGUUCCACCACCACUACUGCAUAGUGCAGUUGUUUGGUUCUUAGGAUGAUCCCAGAUUUGUUCGAAAUUGUUAAAUAACAGAAGCUUAAGCAGAUUAAAAAAAUUUGAUAUUUUUGGACUCAAAAUUUUUUGAUAUGUUUAACGAUAUUUUUCACGUUUGGACUCAAAAUUUUUGGAUAUACACAUGAUGUGAACUUAAAUUAAAUGAGAUAAAAUUAAUUAUUUUCAGAACUUGGAGUGACUCGAAUUCGUGCUCUAAUACUAUAUUAAAUAAUGUGAAACAACUGUUAUUUUUUAAAAUUCAACAUUCCUCUGAAACAGUACAGUACAAAUUCAUCUCUUUCUCUCUGGUUCUUCAUUUUUUUUGUAGAAAAAAUUAUUUUUCUUUAUAGUUUAUUUUUUAUAUAUAUAGAGUAGGGCUACUGUGCUCUCAGGAGCACGGAGGCCUCCGUGCUCUUGAGCCGUUUUCGAUGAUGAAAUUUUCGAAUCGACGAUCGGCUCCGUUAGACUUGAUCUAGCAUAUUUGAAGUUUCUAGAAAAUAAUUUUUGCGAUUUUUCGAUAUCAUUUACCUAGCAAUCGAAAAGAUUCAAAAUCUAUAAUUUUUAACGGCUAAAAAUAAAAAUCCUAUAAAAAGUGGUGAUAUAGCACUAAAAUUUUCGAUCAGAAAUAUUGAUUUUGUUGUAGAUAGUAUAAAGAAUUUUGUAUCAAAAUUUCAUCUGAUUUGAAUACUUCUACACCGUUAAACUUAAAAACGGCAGAUAUCAACCAUUAAAAAUUAUUGAUUUUGAAUCCUUUCGAUCACUAGGUAAAUGAUAUCAAAAAAUAGCAAAAAAUAUUUUCUAGAAACUUCAAAUGCGCUAGAUCAAGUCUAACGGAGCCGAUCGUCGAUUCGAAAAUUUCAUCAUCGAAAACAGCCUCACGGUCCCGGUUGUUCCUGGAGAGCAGCAGUCAGCCUGCUAUAAGUAUUAUAUAUAUUAUAAUAUAAUUAUAGAUAUCCGGCUGGAGAUAUCUAUCGAUAGUACCGAAGGAUUUGGUGCUAUCUGAGUUUGUUCCCGCUAGAUUUUAACCCUCAUGAAUUAAUUUUAACAUCCGUUCGCAUUAUUAAACUUAUUCAACCAAACCAUCUGCACUCAACCCUAGGGGGCCCAACAGCAUUCGCUAGACUCACCUAUUUCUCAGAUCUAAGGCGAAAAAAUGCCAAUACACAUAUUGGUGCUUUUUGAUAGUACUCCAGCCCACGUUCAUAGUAUGAGUCCGGUUGGAUCUAAUCGGAUAAGUACCAAGGAUUUGGUGUUAUCGAUUUCCACCGUUAGAUUAACCAUCUGAUUAUUUUUAACCCGUUAGAAGUUAUAUUAUUCAAUCAAAUCAACCAACCACUCGGGUCACUCACCCUAUGGGGUCCGACAACAUCCUAACCGGACCUAUUUCUCAAUCUAAGGCUAAAAAAUCAAUAGCACCAAUAGCUUGGUGCUUUUAUAGUAUGUCCAACCUAGUAUAUAUAUAUUAAAUAUUAUAUAUAAUAUAGAGUGAGGUGCUACUAUGCUAUCGGAAGGCAACGGAGCAUUCCGUGCUUCCAGUCUCGUUUCGAUGUUUGCGACGUUCGAAUCGUCGAUCGCCUCCGUGUAAACUUGAUCUAGAGUAUUGAAGUAGCUAGAAAAUAAGUUUUAUGAUUUUACGAUAUCAUUUGCUAGUGAACAAGGCUCAAAUCAACAGGCUGGAAAUAAAGCUGUACAAAUGUAAUGAAUAUAAAUUAAAAAGUUUAAAUAAAUAAUAUGAGUCUGUUUUUAUAUAGUAUAAUAGAAUUUUCUAUGCAAAUUUCACGUGAUUUGGAAUAUUUCUCAAAAAACCGUUAAACUUGCAAACGGCUCACUACGGGCUAUUAAAUUUAUUGAUUUUGAGCCCAUUCGAUCAUCGAGGCAAAUGAUAUCAGAAAAAUAAUAAAAAUUUUAUUUUCCUAGGUCACCAAAUACUCUAGAUCAAGUUAAACGGAGCCGAUCGACGGAUUCGAAAGUCGCAGACAAUAGAAUCAGCCUGGAAGCACGGAAGCCCGUGCUCUCGAUAGGCAUGUAGCCUGCACUCUAUAUAAUAUAAUACUAGAUGAGAGAGAGAGAUAGGAAAAAAAUAGAGAAGAGAGAGACGGAGGAGAGAAGAGAGAGAUGAGAGAGAGAGAGAGAAGUUAGCUAGAAUACCUAGGUCGGAUAGCAAACGGGUUCCGUUGCCACCCAUUUGUUUUCGAUGAUAGAGCCUCCAAAUCGACGAUUGGCACCGUUGAACAUAAUCUAUACUACUUGAAGUGUUUAGAAAUCAAAUUUCAAAUCUUUUUGACAUCAUUUGUCUAAUGAUCAAAGGGUUUCAAAAUUUGUAAUUUUAAUUGUCGAUAUGAGGCGUUUUCUCGUUUAACGGUGUAAAGAUACUCAAAUCAAUUGAAUUUUUGUUAGAAAAUUCUUUAAACUAUUUAAAACAAGAUCUAUACUCUUGAUCUUGAUUACAAGACUCCUAUCAUCAUUUUUUAAAAAAUAUUCAUUUUCAGCCGUUCAUUUUUGUGUCCACUCGAUGGAUAAGAGAACAAUAUUGAAAAUGUAUGAAAUUUGAUUUCCAAACACUUUAAGUGGUAUAGAUCAUGUUUAACGGUGCCGAUUGUCGAUUUGGAGGCUCCAUCAUCGAAAACAAAUGGGUGGCAACGGAGCCCGUUUCCUAUCGAUAGUAUUCUAACUCAACUAUAUAUAUAUAUAUAUAUAUAUAUAUAUAUAUAUAAAGAGAGUACAUAAUAUAGUUGGUAGGUAUUCAAUUGCCACCUAAAGAGGUAGGAUGUUGGAUCUCUUAUUAGUAGACCCGUCAUUUUCUAUUUAUAUCCGCGUAUACUCAUAGAUUACUUAUAAAUUUGCAGGUAUGAAUAUUAAUUUUUCUUAUCCAAAAAAUUAUGCGUAACACGAAUGAGUAUCCGUUAAAAUUGUGGACAUUUUUUGUCUAUCCACUUAAAAAUUCUAAAUCUAACUACUCUUCUUCUUCUUUUCUUUCUGUGGCCCUCUCUCUUACCACGCCGCCUCUUUUGCCGCGCUGUUCUACCACCCUUCGGCUGCCUGCUUUACAUGUAAAAUAUCUUUACAUAUAGUUUAUGCGUUUUAAAAUUUAUAUUAUUUAUUAUAUAUUAUGAUAUUUCAAAUAAUAAAUUAUAUUAUAAUCUUUUAAAAGUUAUGUAUAUGUAAUUUGCAUUUGAAAAAUAUAAGAAUUAAAUAAAAAAAAAAGAAGAAUAUCUUACAGGUAAUCCGCAUAUCCACUCACCUGUUCACAGACGGAUAUAGAUAAAGAUACAGACUAUCUAAAAAUUUGCUUUAUAUUUAUAUAAUCUGCGAGUAAAAUAAUCCAUCUGUCAUUUAUUUAAUUCGUCUGUUUGUCGGGCCUACCUACCUACCUACCUACCUACGAGGGGGCAGACUAAAAUUGACCAUCUUAUAAUUAGCCAUUCAAACAUGGUUUCAAUGAAGAAGUUAUGUGUGAGUGGACAACUUCCCAACCCCUUUACAAUGACUCAUUUGACCCCAUUUUCAAUGCCCUCCCCAAAUUUAAUUAGGAGAGCCCUCAAAAUGAGUGAUGGAGAGAACUAUUAGGUGAUUCCCCCCUUGCCAAAGAACCCAUUUUUAACCACAACCCACCAAUAAUCAUUGUAGAGAGAGAUAAAAAAAAUAUAAGCCCAAAUAAAGAGGGGGAAGAGAGAGAAAAAGUAGGAAGAGGACAGGUGUUCAUUCUUGAUUAGGCCAUGAAGAGAGAGAGAGAGAGAGGGGAGAAGAAGAUAAGCCCAUCCUCCAUCCCUAUUUCCCAACCAAGUAACCAACCAUAUAAAUCCCCACCCCAUGAAUUAGAAUCUUUGUUCCUCUCUCUCUCUCUCUCUCUCUCUCUCUCUCUAUCCCCCCUCUCACCCAACCCCUCCCCAAAAUCCAAUUUUUAAGAAAGAGGGAGGAAGGAGACUCUCUCUCUUCUCUCUCUCUCUCUCUAAAGAGGGAGGAAGGAGAGGGAUUUGGGUGUUGAUCUCUCUCUCUCUCUCUCUUCUUCAACCCCAAAAUCCAAUUUUUAUAAGAUUGGGUGUUAAAGAGAGAGAGAGAGAGAGUGUGUGUGUGUGAGGAGAGAGAAAAUAGGAGGGAUUUGGGUGUUGGUUGUUGAGGAGGAAGAAGAUCUUUGAUGAGCUAAAAAAGCUUUUGUAAGGUUUGUGGAGGGGGUGAGGUGUGGAAGGGUCCCCCACACUUCAUAUUGUUGUUUUCCCACACUAUCAUCCCCCCUCUCUAUCUCUCUCUACUUUCUCUCUCUACAAACCUUCUCAAUUUCCUCUCACUCCUAUUAAAACCACCCCCUCCUCCAAAGCUCCCUCCUUUGUGUUGUGUUGUGUUGUGUUGUGUUGUGUUAGGUUACACCCACUCCCAUCCACCCAUUUCCCAAACUAAGAUUUUGUUGGUGGUUUUUAGUUGCAACACCACCAUCCUCUUUGAUGUGAGAGAAAAAAAAAGGGGACCCAAAAACCCAAACCCAAUUCUUAGGAUUAUUAAUUAAUCCAUUAAAGUUCAAAAUCCUGAGAUUUCUUUUUUUUUUCUUAUUAUUUAUCCAAAAAAAAAAUUGGAAUUUUUGCAUCUGAUUGGUGUUUUUUUUUUUUUUUUUNAGUAAACCCUAAACUUUCGAAAACUUCGUUUACUUUUCUUUUCUUAUAGUGAAUCAACCCCUUGGCCUAGGGUUGAGCUAGUAUUAAAGAAGAAGAAGAAAAAAAAAAAAAUCAAAAAAAAAAUCAAAACCUCCAAUUUUUGAUGAUCUUCUUACUUGUUCCAUUCGUGUCCUCCUUCUUGCUCCUCCUCCUCUCAAAAUCCCUGUCUGUCCAGUCCCUGCCCUCAUGGGCAGCUGACAUGAGACUGCUGUCUUCCCUCCUGCUCCGCGAUCUCGGCCUUCAGCUGCUCUGCUUCCUGCAAGACUGCACUCUUGCCGGCGCCGCCGCCGUCAGAAUUCGAUCCCCCGCGAUGCCGUCCCCCAGGAAGAAACUGCAAUCGCGGCCCGACGGCGGCAGAGGGGGCGGCGAAUCGGGCGGUCCGUCGAUCCUCGAUUUGCCCGAGCUGGCCCUCGAAUUGGUUCUCGGGAAGCUGCCGCCCCCCGCGCUCUGCAACGCGGCCGCCGUGUGCGCCGAGCUUCGCGACCGGUGCCGGAGCGAUCACCUGUGGGAGAGGCAUGUGAGGGAGAAGUGGGGGCGGGUGAUCGGCGACGCUGCCCGCCGCGAGUGGCAGCUGCACUUGGCCUCGAAAUCGGCCCAACCGAAGGCAGGUGGCGGGGGCGGCGGCGGCAGCAUCGGCAUCGGCGGCGGCGGGAGGUCGAGGCGGUGGAUCGCCGCGCUCUCCUGCGUCUGGCCGUUAUCCUGGAUUAGGUCUAGUGCCGAUCGCAGCUGCGGCGGCAACAAGCCGAAAAGAAGCGGCCCCUUGCCGGACAAUUCGAUCAUGGCGUGGUACAUGUCGAUGGAGACCGGCAUGUUCUGGUUCCCUGCUCAGGUCUACAACCGCGAGGUAUGCGAAUUCAAGGUCGAAUUCGCAAAGAUCGUGCGAUCAUGUGUUGUGUUCGACGAAAUGCCACUAAAAGAGUUUUCGAUUCUGAUUGUUGUGUUUUGUUUGCAGCAUGGGCAUGUCGGGUUCAUCUUGUCGUGCUACGACGCCGAAGUGAGCUACGAUUGCCGCAGCGACACCUUCCAUGCGAGGUAUGUGUAAUACCGCGGCGUAAUUGAAUGCUUAGGUUUUGCUCUUUCGUUUUUUCCGGCGAUCCGCGGCGAAUUCUAGGUCAAAAUAGGUUUCCUAUGUAUGACAAGAAGAGAGAUAGGGGAGGUUGGGAUGCUUCUACUCUUAUUUUCUUGCAAUUCAUCUUGGUUAGGAUAGACUCAUGAUGCGAAUAUGGAUGUCAAAAUUUAGCAUUCGACACGUAUUCGUAUCCGAAUUCGCAUUUGAAAUUGGUUUCUUCAAAAAUCCGACUGUAUUCAACCGUUCUCACUCUUAACAGAUAAGAGGGAUGUAAAUAUAUAUUGUAGGGGGAUUGCAGGGGGAUAAAAUGGUUUUCGAUUGUGCUUUUUGUUUAUUUUACUAUGAAUUUUGUAUUAAAAUUAUGUUUAUAUUUGGUAAGAUAUUAAAUUUUAUUGAGUGAAAUCUAAGAAUACGAAGUUUGAACACGAGUAUGGAUCUUUAAUUGCAUUCAUUGUGUUUCAUGUUAUUAUUAUCCGAAUAAUAUCCAAAUACAAAUCCGAGUUUUAUCUGAAUUCGAAUCCGUUUUAAACGGAUAUGGUAACAAAAAUUUAGCAACCGACACAUAUCAUCAUCCGAAGAAAAAUAUGGAUGGAAUAUGGUUUUGUUAAAAAUCUGACCGUAUUCGACCAUUUUCACCCCUAAUGCUACCCCGGUAAAAUCCGAAUACGGGUACUUUAGUCUCGAAGAAAUGAAACUCAAUCGAAGAGUGGCAUUUUUGGUAAGCGCGAUGACGACGACAUGUUUAGGUCUUAUGUAAUAAUUCAGUUUUCGACAAUGUUAUAUAGAUAAAUAUAUGAUAUUACAGCAUCUCAUUUGAGAGUCUGCUAUUGCUGUUGCUCAUCUUUAAGCGCAAUCUCAACCGACAGGUACCCGCCGCACGGGCGUCGGACCAUCGUCAUCGAAGAGGGAGUUCAAUGGGAUAGGCUACGGCCGCCCCCCGUCGACACUCCCGCACACGACCUCCACAUCUCGGACUGCUUGAAUGAUCUCCGCCCGGGCGACCACAUUGAGAUUCAAUGGAGAAGGAACAAGGAGUUCCCCUACGGUGCGCGUUUUUGCGUAACAUCUCCUUUUAGCUCGAACUUUCAAAAAUAGUUCAGUGAUAAUUAUUCGACUUAAUCGGCAUUUUUUUUUUUUGUUUUGGGCAGGAUGGUGGUAUGGAGUUGUAGGUCACUUAGAGUCGUGCGACGGGAACGAGCAUUUCUGUCGCUGCCAUCUCAGCGGUGAGUGUCGCACCUCUGACUUGUUGUCGCUUUUAAAUUUUUCCCUUCUCUGGCUUAACAUAAAAACUGGACCUAGUAUUGAAAAUGUUAGUAUCUGAUUCAGAAACACUUUUUCCUCCCGCGUGUUUGAAGUUUUGUUUGCGACUCUGAAAAAACUGAAAACUGAAAACUGAAAACUGAAAAAUGAAAAAUGAAAAACUGAAUCCCUCGUUUUGGUUACACUCCAAUUCUCUUGAUUCUUAACCCUCAAUUUUACGUCACUGGAAUGCACCAGCGACGGCGCAAUAAAUGAAAACAAACAAGAAUUAGAACGAUGACCGACCAAGGCCAAAACGAAACUUCAGCCCAAACUAAAACUGAUGCUAGUUCUGAUAAAUUUUUGCGGUUCGUGAACUCUGCUUAUUUUUUUUCUCAGAUACGGUCGCGUUGGAGUUCAAUCACUACACACCUGGCUCGCGAUGGAGGCGGGCGUCGGUCAAUCGAAAGGAUCACCGCGAAGGCAACGAAACUGACGGGUUCUACGGCGGCAUCAGGAAACUGCACUGCAAGGCCGAGAUCUCAAAGUGGAGGCAACUUUGGCCGACCGAUAUCUUGGAAUAGAUAAAACAUUGCGUCGAAUCUCUUCAGCGAAUACAUCACGAUAUCGCUCUUCGAUCUCAACACAAAAGUUAAAAAGAUUUAGUAUCUAACUAUGAUCUGAGCAUCAAUGUAUGCCAUGUUGUUAUUUCUCACUCUCUUUCUCUCUCUUCUUUUUUCUUUUUUUUUUUCCUUUUUUUAUAUUUUGGCUGAUUGGGGGGGAGGGUUGUUUAUACAACUCCAGGAACAGGAAUUAUCCACUAUUGUAUUGUUAGAACAGAUUAAAAGCAAAUGUAAAUUACACAAUUAGCUUCUAUUUGAAGAGUAUUUUAGGAGUUCAUCUGAAUAAUGUUCUGAUUAUCUGAUCUGUAAAAAAUUUGCUGCUUUGGAUUUUGUUUUUUUUUGAGAUUUUUUCUGCAACUGUAAUGUUUUGAACUUCCUUUGAUGUAUUAUAAGAUUAAAUUGCGGUUUAAGUAGAGCUGUUUGAAGAAGAACAAACUGUAGAGUUUGCGAUAGAAGCUCCUAAUUUUAGAUUCUUCUUUCGCAUUUUAGAUUCUCAAGUCACAGCAGGAGCUCUAAACUUCUACAGUUUAAAAUAGAUGAAUAAUGAAUUGUUUCGGAAGUUAACUUGUAGUCUUGAAGAUCAUCAUUACUGUCUUCUAAUAAAUUUUUUCAAUAAAAAAAAAAAUCUCUCUAAUGAUUUCGCGCUGCGAAUAAGGUUGGCAAUAAAUUGGAGCUUCGGUUUCUGAGACGUAUAAGCUCAUUUCUAGUUUUCUGUCGCAGCAAAAGUUCAAAAGUUUUUUUUUUUUUUUUGCCAAAGUGAAAAAGCUAUUUACAUUCGAAUCAAAUCCUUAUAUAAUUACUCGUGCGAUUUUUUAACCGUCAGAUUAUCUUAAGAUUCGUGCAGUAUUAAUAAGGGAGACUUAGUAGGACACAUCGUCAAUAGUACUGUAUAAAUCUUGAGGGCGAUCCGACGGCUAAACAGUCAUAAGCAUAAAUGCUCUUGUGUUUUCAAAAGUACAGGAGCUCAACUCGUAGUUUUAGUAUCUUUUUAAGUUUCUUGUGACAAGUUAUGAAUAUGUAAGGCGUGGAUGAUAACCUUAUAAAACUCCUACAACUCUACAAGGUACAUUUAAUUUUAAGUGGAAAUAUUAACCUUUUUUAGGGAUAAUUUUUUUUAAUAUUCUUCUGGAAGGUUGUGAUUUCAUAAAAUGUCCCUUCAGAGUUCAAAAUAUCAUCAAUACUCUCAUAAACAUUAUAAUUCAUGCGAAUUUAAUAGAUCAGUUCUGAAAUUUCAUUUUUCACCUGUAGUAAACUUAAAGCUUAGCAAAAUUAGCACCAAGAAAGCAAUUUCCAUAAUUUCAACACAUUUUUUAAAGCUAAAUAACUAAUAAAUAAAAGCAAUAGAUCACACAUUUAAUGAGAAAUUUAAAAAAAUAAAGCCAUAACUUGUAAAGUUAAAAUCUAUGUCCUACAAAAAAUAACAGUAUGUAUUAAUAUUAAUAUUUUGCUUUACAAGAAAUAGUUGAGAGUAAAAUUGUCAUUUCAUUAACUUAAUGAGUAUUUAGUAUAUAUGCUUGAAUUGGUACUUGUGAUAAAUUCAUAUAUUUAGAGGGGUAUAUGUUUUGAAGGGGCAUCUAUGAAAUUUUGAAAUUCAGAGAGCAAUGUUGGAAAUUGCUUUUUUUUAAAAAAAUUAACUAGCCCUUUCAAGGGUGCAUAUGCAUAGAAUCAAAUAUGAAAUCUCUUAGCUUCGUUUGGUUUGGAGUUAAGUAAAAACUAGUUAUUUCAAGAAUACGGUUAAGUUCAGGAUUAAGCCUGGAAUAGAUUAAUUUUGCUUUCGGAUUAUAAUUGAGUUGUUUCCGGAAUUAAGAAAAAUAGUGUUUGGACAGAUAAUAUAGAAUAAGAAGAAUAGUGGGUAGAGUUAUAAAUAGAAAAUAAUGAUAUUGCCCUAAUUAUUAUAUUUUAAUUUAAAUUUAAAAUUUAAAUAAUUAAAAAUAAUAAUUUAAAAUUUAAAAUUUAAAAUAAAAAUUUUUAUUUUUAAAUCUCAAAUUUAAAAUUUAAGUUAUAACUUUUAAAUUUUAAAUUUUAAAUCAACUCUCAAGUUACAAAUAUAAAAUGUUAAAUUUAAAUAAUUAAAAUAAUAUUUAAAAUUUAAAAUUUAAAAUUUAAAUCUAAAUAUUAAUUUAAAAUUUAUAAUUUAAAAUCUAAAUGUUAAUUUUAAUUUUAAAAUUUUAAAAUUUAAAAUUUAUAAUUUAUAAUUUAUAAUUUAAAUUAUAUAUUUAAAAAUUAAAUAGGGUGGGAUUAGCUAAUCAAUUUGGCCGCACUUAGGGCUAGCAAUCAGCUCGUUGUACGCGCAGGCGUCCAUAUUUAACUUGAAAUGAGCAUCACGAUCGAUCGCGCAUUUAAUGAACGAGCAGAAAAAGCUGAAUUUUUCAACUCGAAAUCUUAACAAGCCCAACACGAGCUGCGGAUUAGUUCAUUUGCAUUCAGCUCAAUAUAGUUCGAAUACACUCACAGAUAAAUAAAUAAAUAAAUAAAUAAAUAUAUAUAUAUAUAUAUAUAUAUAUUAUAUAUAUAUAUAUAUAUAUAUAUAUAUAUAUAUAUAUAUAUAUUUAAUUUUUUACUAUUUGAAUUUAGGCCAAUCAAAAUGUAAUGGGGCUUAUAUUUUGUAAAAUUUUAUUAUUAGAUUAGGUUUUUAAUUUUUUAACUUUCUUUCAACUUUUUCGUGGAUAGUAGGACUGGCAAUCUAACUUACUGUUCCUAAGACAGCUCGUGUUCGGCUCUUUAAUAUACAAGAAGAACACGAGCUGAAUGUUUUAGCUUGAUAUUUUAAUAAGUCAGCUCAUGUAUGGCUUAUUUAAUAAACAAACGAAUAUGAGCCGUCCCCAGCUCGCUUGUGUUCAGCUUGUUAACAAUAGCCCUAGUCGCACUAUGGUGAUGUAAUAAAGAGGUGCUAACGGGCUGGAUCGAGUUGGAUCUAAAUGGACCCGAUUCGGUCCAAGAUUUUAAAAUCCAAUCCAAUCAAGUUUAGAGGUCUACAUCUUGGGAGCAAUAUUGGGUCGGAUUUUAAAACAUUUCUAAGCAACUUGCCCCGGCCCGGCCCGGCCCGACCUAGCCUGGCACUUUGACAAUUGUAGUAGUAAUAAUAAGAAAACACUUCAAAUGCCACCUGGAGUUUCGCAUUUUCUCAUCUUAGUACUCUGUGAUUUAAAAUGUAUCACUUUCAUACCCUGUAUUUUUUUUGUUCUUUUUGUUAUCCACUUCACUAUUUUUUUUUUGUUAAAUCAGUGACAAAGUUAAAACUGAAGGUUACUAAAGUGAAUAUUCGAUAAACCAUUAGUAGGUAUCCUAAUUUUUUUGUAUAUAAUUUAACGAAAAGUUAACGAAGGGACUGACGAAAAGAGAAAAAUGAAAUCAUAGGGUACUAAAUUGAUAUACUUUAAAAUGCAGAGUACUAAGUGCGAAAGUACGAAACCACGAGGGUGAUAUUUGAAGUUUACCCUAAUAAUAAUAAUAGUAAUAAUAAUAUAUAAUAAUGUAGAUAAUUUUUCAGCACCUAUACCUUUUCUUUCAACUCAGGGACAGUGUUUUGUUUCAUAAAAUAGUUUUUUGGUUGAAAAAAUAUUUUUUACUAUGUAUCACAGACACUUCUAUAAGCCUCACGUUUCUGUAUCAGACACGCUUGUAUCUAAUGUGGGCACUCCUUGGACGUGCGUUCAAUACCGCUCUAAAGUGCAUACAAUUAAUAUAUAUAUAUAUAUAUAUAUAUAUAUAUAUAUAUAUAUAUAUAUAUAUAUAUAUAUAUAUNUUCACAUUUUUAUGCAUAUAUAAUAUAAAAUGGCAAAUAUUUUAGCUUUUUUAUAAAGGCAUACACAUUUUCUUGGACAAUAUAAAUAAAUUAUGAAUAGUGGAGAAUUUCUUUUCUUAAAAUAAAUGAACUAUCAAUAAAAAUUUUACUAACUUUCAAUCAUACGAGAAAUAUAAUAAUAUUUUACCAAAAUUAAUAUUUUACAAGUAAUAAAUAUAUAUUAUUAUAUUAAUAAUAUUAUAUUUUAUUAGUGGUGUCUAUAUCGUAUUCGUGUCCUAAUUUUUUAAAAACUACUGAGUCCCCGUGUGUCCUAAUCGUGUUCUGUCCUAUGUCAGUAUCCAUAACGCUUAUAUCUUCUAUCUAUUUGAUUCCUAAAAAAAUAGUUUUUCAAAAAAAUUUUCUUCAGAUUUGUGGAAAAAUAGUUUUUUUUUUGAAAUUUUAAUCUGAAAAAUGAAAAUAGUUGAUAAGAGUGUUUUGCAUAGAAAAAAAUGUAUUUGUCUAAAUAACAGAUGAAAAUGUUUAUUAAAGUUUUUACUAUAGCAAGGAUUUAAGAUGAAUUAACUCAUGGGAUCAAUUAGCAAACAAAAGAAUUAGCUAGAAUAGUUCUACCAAGGACUUUUAUUUAAAAAUGACCCUUAAAAAAAAUUAUAAUUGGCUAAAUGACCCUUCUAAAAUUUUAUUUAGCCAACUAAAUCGCUGCUUGCCAGCUCAUCACUAUAUUGGACAAAAAUGAGAAAGACGGUAAAUUAUUCAUCGUCUUUAGAAAGCACUGAAUUAUUCCCCGUUUUCAGAUUGUUAUUAUUGUUUAUAAUUUUUUAUUUUUUUUUUGUAUGGAUUGUGAGGAUCCUUAUGAAGUUGAUUAGGAAUGUAUGCAGAUUAUUAAAAUUUUUAUUUAAUUGUUGAAAUUUUUUUAGCUGUUGCGAUUGUAUGUGAAUUGCUGAAAUUUUUAUGUGGUUGAAAGAAUUCUAUAUAAAAAAUAGAAAGAAACAGUAAAGUAUUUAUCAAUUUUCUUUUGUAAAAAAAGCCAGAUAGUAAAUAAUUUAUUGUUUUUUUUUCAUUAAAGAUGUCGGGCGAUUAACAGUUUUUGAUUGGACAGUAUAUGAUUAUUCGUCCAAAUAAAAUUUUGAUAAAAUUAUUUGACAAAUAAUAAAUUUUUUAAUAAUUUAACCUUACUCUAUUUCCAAGUUGACACUCAUAAUGAGAUUUGAAUUAAACGGUAAAUUAUACAAUUCGCCCCCAAACUUCUACCAAAAUUUAUCUCUGUCCCUACUAUUUUAAAGUGAAUUUAAUAAAUUCUAAACCUUUCAUAAAUAUACCAAAUUGGCUCGUUUUGUCAUUUGUCGUUAAAACUAUUAAUAAAAAAAAUAACAUAAAUAUUAAAUAAAUAUUUUGUUUUUGAAGCCAAAUAUGCAACCAAAAUGCAAAUCAAAGCCUCAUCAUUUUACCACGCUAGUUGUGAGACCCCAGAUAGUCCUAUAUAUGAGAUAUAAUAGGGCUAAACUCUUAACCCGGUUUAAGCAUUUUGGGUGGUGGCAAGGCCCAAGAGGUUAAGAGAGUUAAGCGUGCUGGGACGGGAGUAGUCCUAGGAUGGGUGACCCCCUGGGAAGUUGGGGCGUCACAGAUGGUAUCAGAGCCAAUUACCAGUCGGAAGUGUGAGAUGACUCUCGGCUGAACCAGGGUCUGGAUGACGGGCUAGCGAGAUGAGUCUCACAUCGCCUGGUACUUGUGAGUCUGAGCCUGACGAGGACGUCAGGGCUUAAAGGAGGGGAGAUUGUGAGACCCCAGAUAGUCCUAUAUAUGAGAUAUAAUAGGGCUAAACUCUUAACCCGGCUUAAGCAUUUUGGGUGGUGGCAAGGCCCAAGAGGUUAAGAGAGUUAAGCGUGCUGGGACGGGAGUAGUCCUAGGAUGGGUGACCCCCUGGGAAGUUGGGGCGUCACACUAGUAGUUCAACUUCUCUUUUUAGGUAGGUUAAAUUAUACUUUGGUCCUCAAACCAUGUAGCGCGUAGCAUUUUAGUCCUGCAACUUUAAUUCAUUGUAAUUUCUGACUCGAAUUAUAAGACGCGUGUAGGGGUGAAAACGGAUCAUAUAUUAUCCACAAAUAUUCGUAUUUGUAUUCAAUAAUAUCCGGAUUUGAAUAAAAAAUAUUCGGAUCUGGUCGGAUACAGACGGAUAUGGUUUUAGAAAGUUAAAUUUUUUCUGAUAUCCGAAAAAAAAGGAUAUGGAUAUAGAUAUCUAGAAUUUUAGUAUUAUUAUUUUUAUAUUCUUUAUAUUUUUGGAUUCAUCCGGCCCAAUUUUGCUCGUUUGGUCCGCCCAAAUUUCUUUCCUCUAAUUCAUUGCCAACCAGGGCACUGGAGGUGAUUUUUCAUAUUAUUCGUUUAUUUUAUAAUCAAUUGUAUAUUAAAAUCAUAUAUUUUAUAUAUGAAGAAGUAUAGUUAGGGAACAAAGUAGAAAAAUAAAGUAAAUUUUUUGUAUAUGUGCAUAUAUAUUAUACAUAUCCAACCCACAUUCGAAUCCGAAAAAUAUCUGACCAUAUUCCAAUCUAUAUUUAGCGGAUGUGGUAAUAAAAAUUUAGCAUAUGACGUAUAUCCGUAUCCAAAAAAAAUCGUAUAGAUGCGAAUAUAAUUUCGUCAAAUAUCUGGCCGUAUGCAAUCCGUUUUCACCUCUGGAAGUGUGACACAAACUUUAAAACUUUUAUCUUUCUCUCCUCACUUUCUCUCUCUUCACUCUCUUUCUCAUCUCUUUUUUCGCUUUAUUUUUUCUUCAUUGUCUCUCUCCUCACCCCUUUCUCUUCACUUUCUCUCAUUUCUUUCAUUUUACUCAUUUUCGCUCUCGUCCUUUUCUCCCUCUCUCCUAGUUUCUUGACGGAGAAUGUCUAAAUGCAACAACUUGAAAUAUUGUGACACAUAGGAUACUUUGACAUUUGGUGAUAUUUUCUAAGUGAGAACCAUUGGUCGAGUCGAGAAUUCGGGUACUGGAUGAGGUAGAUGCUUUAUUUUGAACUCGGUAAAGUUGUAUUUUAUUCAGUAUUCUCUAAACUCAUUCUAUUCCUGUAACACCCAAAAUAGUCCCACAUAGGAUGGAAAUGGGGCUAUAAUUGAGUACAUAAGAGAUCAUAGACACUAACUAAUAAUCGGGCUUAAACAUUUUGAGUCGAUAAUUUAGACCCGAUGAGUUAUUAUUGUUAGCAGGUUGAGCUGUUACAUGUUGAGGGCCUUUCAAGAAGUGUAUAUGCAAAUAAUCAAAUUUAAAAUUUCUUAAUCCGCUAUCAGGGUAUUAUCUAAUUGCACUAGACAGCGGUGCUAGGUGAAACUAUUCAAUUUGGCCGUACUUAGGGCUGGCAAUCCAAGAUUUUAGUCCUGAAACUUUAAUUCAUUGUAAUUUCUAACUCGUAUUAUGAGACGUGUCACACAGACUUUAAAAUUUUCAUCUCUCUCUUUUCUCACUUUCUGUCAUUUCUUUCAUUUUUUCUUAUUUUCUCUCUCAUCUUUUUCUCUCUUCUCUCUCAACUAAAAACUUUAUAUGGGACUAACAUUUACUCUAUAUGAGAUAUUUCAAGACAAAUACAAUAUUUAACCCCCAACUUUUUUUCAAUCCCCCAACUUUAGGAGUUUGUGUGCAAUUUUAUUCUUUUGUAGGGACACACAUGCAACUAUCCCUACUCCUAUUUAUAUACUAUUUUCCCCUUUUAUUUUACCAUUUCCUCGUAUGACUCCAUUUCCCACCUCUCUCUCUCUCUCUCUCUCUCUCUCUCUCUCUCUCUCUCGCUUUUCGUUCGCACACGAAACUCUCCCUAAUCCCCCAAUCUCCGCCCCGCGCCGAUGAACGGCGGGCCCUCCGGAUUCCGUAAGCUCCGAUUUUCCCCUUCGCGAUCCUACCGAAACCCCUAAUCCCCUGCUUUUUCGAGGAAUUUUUCGCCAUUUUUUCCGAUUUUUUUGAUGCAAUUUUGACGCGGUUUCCCCUUUUCUUUGACCUAGACAAUGCUCCGGUCGCUAGGGCCUUCGUUCUCGCGUGCGUGCUCCUCACGGCCGUGUUUGGGGUUCGGGGACGGGCGCUGCGGCUCGGAUUGUCGUAUCAGGUAGAGGAUUCGUGUUCUUUUGACCUAAUUUGGUGUGUGUUUUGGGGGAUUUUUGUGCUUUUUUUAACCUAAAUUUGACGUGGGUGUUUGAUUUUGUCAUCUGAGUAGUUGGUGAAUUGGUGAAUUAAAGAGCUCAUCGACUUGUUUGUGCUCAAUUCCCUACAUUAGAUCCUCUUUUCAUGCUAUACAAUAUGCUUAUAUGUUAUGUGUGUAGCUAUGGGAAGGAAUUUAGGGAUCUAGUUAUCUAAGGAUCGCAGAAAAUAGAGUAAAUUUUGCGUUUGGUUUGAGUUUAUACUGAGUGUUUGUAGGGAUUAGAAGGAUAAUUGCGAUGUUAAAGUGUGUCCGUAAUAAUCAGAGUCAUAACUGAGUAUGUAAUGAGAAAUUGAGGAUGGUGUGGCACCAGUGGUUGGGUGGACGAAUUUUGUGAGGAUAGCUUCUUUUUCCUUAGGUUAUCCUUUAUUGUAUGAUAAUUGAGAACAAAAUCAACAUUUUCAUUUGGUUUUAGAUUUUAGGAGUAUCUGUAAUAGUUCAGCAAUAGUUAUAACAAUAAAAUAGAGAUAUACCAGUUAUGGGGAUUACUGCGGAUAACUAGGGAUAAUGAGGUAUGAAGUGGGGGAUGGGAGAUAGGUUUUUCUUGUAUUCUUGUUGGCGGGUGAGGUUUUUCUUGCCGUGAAUUAGGUAUGGGUUUUUGAUUCUGUCAUCUCGGUAGUUGAUGGAUUGGUGACUUGCAGAACCUAUUGACCUGUUUUGGUUAAUUCCCUAAAUUAUAUUUCUUUUUAUGCUAUGUAGUAAUAUGUUUGGAAGUUUUAUGCAAUAUAAGAAUGGAGUUGCCCAAGUUGUGUAGCUCGAAUAACUAGGGAUGAAAUGAGGGUUAGCAUGUUUCCAGGGGUUGUGUGGUGUUUGGAUAAAUUCUGUGAGGUUAUUUUCUUAUUCCUUAGGUUAUUUGCUAUCCUAAGAUAAUUGAGAACAAAGUCAAAUUACUGUUUGGUUUAGAUUAUAAGAGUAUCUGUAACAAUUACGUUGAUGAUUACAACAAUAAAAGAUAGUUUGAUCGGUUAUGGAGAUAACUAGCGAUAACUAGGGAUAACUAAGGGUAAAGUGUGGAUAGCUCUUUGUUGACAUGAGUUUUUCUUGUGCUCUUGUUGGUUGUAAGGUUUUGCUUGCUUUAAAUUAGACGUGUCUGUGGAUCGUUGAUGAAUUGAUGAUUUUACAGAACCCAAUGACUGUUGUAGUCAAUUGAUUCCGGGCAGACUUUUUACCCUGACAUAGAUUCUAUUUUAAUGUUGUUCCCUUGGAAGUUUGCUGUAGCAUGGGAUGAACAUACAGACUAAGUUUUAGAUGCAUAACUAUGUUCAUUUUUGCAUUAUAUUUAAAGGGCAUCUUCACCUCAGGUACAAAUUAUUUGGAUUCAGCUAGAAACUUUUCUCUAUUCUUGUAGAAGUCCUUGGAAAUUAAGAAAUGGAUGGGCAAACAUAAAGGGAUGGUGAGUUAAUGUACAUAAGCUAGCACAAUUAAUUAGUCGAACAACAUUUUUAGUUUGUCCCGUUAAUGGUUAUUAUGUUCUUGCACGCAUAAGAUUUGCUAGUUAAAUGAUUAGUGAGAUCAAUUUUAUAUUGUAUAUAUGUUCUGUUGGUAGUAGAAGAUGAUUUGCAAAAGGAAGCACCUGAUGAGAACAACAUUUGACUUAGAAAAAAACUUUCUAUUAUCACCAUGGGGAAUAAAAUUCUGUUUGUAAUGAAGCUCCAAUUGAAUAGUGAAUGCAGUAAAAUUUUCUCCAAGGUAGUAUCCAUGUAUUCCUUUUUGUCACUUUUACUCUGGUACUUGGACACCUUAUAUAGAUUCUAGAUAGCGUGAAUUAUCUACUGGGUUCACUUGGUAAGAUGGAGAUUCACGUUCUACGCAUGGUUCGGGGAUGUUUGUUUGACUUUGGCGGUAAUAGUGGUCUAUGAAUUAAAUUGUUGUAUAUUACCAUCUACCAAAUAUAAUAUUCCAUGUCUGACUCUGUUCGUGUUUCAUAUUCAAGAAAAUUCUCUUUUUUUAAUACUCUCUCUCUCUCUCUCUCUCUCUCUCUCUCGCUUGUGCAUGCACACACACACACACAUUUGUAAAACUUGGUAUGCUAUAUGGAUAGUUGGUUUUUCUGGUUUAAAUACAUCCUUAUUGGCUAAACACUUAUUGGUGAAAUAUGUUUGUAAUUUCCAUUUGUAACUUUUUGUGACGAGUGAAAAGUUGGUUUUUAUGGUUUAGAUACAUCAUUGGUUGCUAUCCAUUUCCCAUUGUAGCUUAAAUACUAAGAAUUAAUCACUAGUUGAGGGGAAUCAUUACGGUAUUAUGUAUUUCAACUGAUGCAUAUAAUUUUCUUAGUUUUCAUGAAGCAGUUUAUCUGAACUAGUGUUCUUUGUUCAAAAUAGAUUAUUUAUUUAUAACAAUUGUUUAUUGUGCUAGACCGAUAGGAGAUUUUUUUCUCUAUUGGAGUCUAAUUUUGUGGCUUCAAAAUUUAGUAGUACAGUAAGGUUUAUCUUCAGAACCAAUUUGGACAGUAGAUUUUGGUAGCUUCAUAUUAAUCUCAUUACCAAAGAUAUUUUAGUUGAUAUUGUCUUAAUAUUUAAUAAAGAAAUUAGAACAAUUACAUGAUUUUUGGUUUCUAUAAUGUUGAAACUUUUAAGUAAUUAUUUUUUUGUAAGACAUAAUGGAAGUCAUAGAUUAUAAGUGUCUUAGUUGAUAAAACAUUAUUUAAUAACUGAUAUUUUCCUAGUUUGCAAGUGCCUUGGAACUUAAGAAUUCUUAGCACUUAAACCUCAAGAAUAUAAAUACUUUAGAGUUUGUCUUAUCAUCUGUCCUAGGUACUCUUGACGGUAAGUUGCACUCCAAUUUAUCAUUGAGGAGUGCCAUGGGAUGUCAUAUUAAAUCCAGGUGUUUGAAUAUGUUGACUCCUGUAAAUCCUGAAAGUCAGUUUCCCACUUAACCCUUUAGUUCUUAUGAUAAUGAGGUGAUGAAAAUUUUUAUUAGGUUAGGAGUGAAAUGAUAUUGGUUAUUAAGUUAGUGGAUAAUUGAUAAGUUCAGUAAAAUCUUGGAGGAUUGGAGUAUAGGGUGUCAUUCAUUGCGUCAAUUGGGAUUUGGGAACCGUUGCCUAUUAGUCUCUGGUACAUUUUUUUUCUUUUUAAUGAUGUUAUGUUAUUUCCUUCAGAAUUUGCACUAUGCAUGUAAUAUUUGUCACAAAGUGACAGUUUCAGUUAUAUUAAUAUUGUAACGUUUCGCUUGUGGCAGGAUAUUAUAAAAACCUUCCAGUUAUGGAGGAUUUUUGCAUCAGUAUUUGCGUUUUCGUCUACACCAGAAUUACUGUUUGGAGUAUACUUGCUUUAUUAUUUUAGGGUAUUUGAGAGGCAGAUGGGCUCCAACAAAUACUCAGUAAGUAAUAGGCCACUGAAAAGAAUCUUCGGCACACUGACAUAAGUUGUCAUGUGACUUGUUUAGAUGUGUCCUUUUCGAUAAAAGCUUGUUUAAAUGUGUUCUAAUUGAACAAAUAUAGUACUUCCAUUCUGUUCUCCUUAAAAGUUACUUUAUGGAUAGCAAACAUUGCUUGGUACUUCGACGACUUUUUAUUUCUUAGUCAUCUUGUUUAUGCACAAGUUUUAACCAUCUGUUUUCGGACUGUUUACUUGAUGUAUGUUGAAUUUGCAGGUCUUUGUGUUAUUCUCGCUGAUAGUAUCUUCGCUAUUUGAGAUUAUAGCUUUGAUGCUUUUUAAAGGUAUAGUUGUUUCUUAGUUUGCUAACCUACGCAAAUCAGCGUUAUAUGAUAAUCUUGCCUACUGAAAUAAUAAUGCCUUUUUGCCUUUUUGCUUACUGAAAUACACCUUUCUUUCCUUCAACUUUUAGUUAUGUAUUAUAAAUUCAAUAUAUUGUAUAAUACUUUUCUCUUCUAAGCGAUUGUAGAACCUUUUGACAUUCUAUCUUGCACAUAAACUUAGUUGAAAUAAUGGUUUUUCUUUUUCCUUUUCAUAGAUCCCACGGCAAACGUAAUUGCUUCUGGGCCUUAUGGUCUCAUAUUUUCAUCAUUUGUGCCCUUUUAUUUUGAUAUUCCUGUUACAUCACGGUUCCGCAUAUUCGGCUUACAAUUUGGCGACAAGUCAUUCAUAUACCUGGCUGGCCUUCAGGUUAUUGUUGUUUCCAGAAUCUCGAUAUUUUUAGGGGCAGUUUAUGUUAUUGUUAAUUACUCCGUGUUCUCUCUCCUGCUAUCAGCUUCUCUUGUCGUCCUGGAAAAGGUCACUUUUACCUGGCCUAUGUGGAAUGCUGGCUGGCGCCCUAUAUCACCUCAAUGUAUUUGGCAUUCGCCGGAUAAAGGUAAUUAUAAUUAAACUCAUUUUACUGUCUAUGUUACUUCAUUCCACUUACUUUUACAGCAUCAUGUCCUGUGGUAACUUCCUUAUAUUUUCUGCUUUAGAAAUUGGAACACUGUUGACAACCGAGGAACAUGAGGUUUCAAUUAGAUAUAUAAAGAGAGUAUAAAAUUAUACUUUUUGCAUGACUAUUUUAUUGGCAGUGAAUUCUUUUCUUUUGUUCUCAGGUUGCUUGUAGAACCUUAAUCAGCCUUUUUAGCUACUUGAGCAUAAAACUCCUGAGAAAAUCAGUCUAAAAUUUAAUACAAAAGUAUUUGACAUCAACGCGCGAGCUGAAUAGCACAAUAGAAAUGUAAAAUGCUUUUAAUCAAAGAGCACAAAAUGUGAGAUAAAGUGGUCUACAUCAGAGGACCUUAGCUUUUGUGGAAUUCUGUUGAUUACUUGUUCGAAAGAAACAAAAAGCUGUGAUGAGGGAAAUGCAAUGGUCUCUGAACCUCGAUUUUCUUCAUUUCAUACCAAAACCACAUAAAAGAACCAACACAAUUUAGAGAAAAGAAAAGAGAAAAUUUUGAAGACUUGAAAAUUCAUGUUGAUUAUGUUUCACAUGAAAACAAAUGUACGGUAAAGUGAACUAUGGCUAUACUUCAUUAGAGUUAUAUAAGCAAGGAUUUAAGUGCCUAUUGGCAUAGGCCGUGUCCACUGUAACAUACCAUGCUGACAAGAUAUCGCAUGAUAUGACCCCGUGCCGAUGGCGCGGCACAAUAUUCUCUUUUCUUUGAAAUUAGCAAGUAGCUGUCUGGAUAAAGUGCAAAAGAUUUAAUAAAGAUAUACCAUAAGCAAUAAAAUAUAUUGGUGCAAAAAAAGAAAAGAAACGUUAUGCCAAUGUGUGUCGGUGAUAGGCACGCAAGUACUUUUUGUGACAUGGAUGCAUCGGCACAACACGCACCAUGCCAUACCGCGCCAGCAAGUUUUUGGCGCGAUCCUGUUCCACGGCACUUAAAUCUUUGUUUUUAAGGUUUCUUGUAAUGUUAUUAUCACUGUCUUAUGCAGUUCUUAUUCAUGAUCGUUGAACCUGGUCGAACUGGGUUGAACUUUACGUUUAGUACUAGAAAUAUCUCUAUAGCGACAAGUUAUGUGCGGCAUUCCGAAUGGAAAUCAUCAACUCCACUGUAGAAGGGUUUAUACAGCUUUUGUUGCUUUACAUGAAGACAUAGACGAACUGCUAAAGAUUUUAAUUAUAAUUGUCGAUAACAAAAGUGAUUCAGGUUAUAUUCUUGAUCUGUGAAUACAAAUUACUUGCUUGAAAGUUUCCGUGUUGCCUUAGACCGACAAUGAUUGUUUCAUCUGCGGUCUUUUCUCAAAAACAAUUAAGAAUUCUCUUGUUAAUGAAAAUAUAAUGUGAUUAAUAAUCCCACAGUUCCCAAACGCCGUGGCGAGACAUUUCUCAAGGUUUUUCGCAUCUUCUGGGGCAAGCUCAUCGCGAACGUCACCAAAUGGGAAUAUUGCAGGAAAUAUUUCUUCUUUCACCGGCCGUCAAACUCAGGCAAGUCUUCUUACUUUCUAUCAAUAGUAACACACUAUCCGUGAAAGCUUUUAUCGCACAUAUUAUGCAUCUUUCGAUUGCUCCGAGAAAUCGUCUUAUUUCCCUGAUUCGCUUGCAGCGAAAUUAUCCACCUGUGGCACGUGCGCCUCCUCCAGAGCCACCUGAGUCUUCUAUCGCUAUGCUGGUAUCAAUGGGAUUUGAUAGCAACGCUGCGAGGCAGGCACUCAUGCAAGCCAGAAAUGACAUCAACGUGGCCACAAACAUCCUUCUAGAAGCGCAGUCGCGGUAAUCAAAAAUAGACAACAACGGUGGGGUUCUCUUACAAAUUUUCAUACGUCGAAAUCGGAUCAACUGAGUUAACACAGAACUAGGUGGAUCGAUAGAUGCUUCGUCCUUCUCCAGCGCUAGAAUCUGAUUACGUUAGGUUCGAGAUUGCAUUCAUCGGAGUUAAUAGUCGGUGCAAUCGUGUGUCGCAUAGACAUGGAUAUUUAGUAUACUUUUCUCGAUUUCGAAUGCAAGAUAGUGAUGGGUUCUGAUACUGUAGUGACAUGAGACAAUGCUUUAGCCAUCAUGUAAAAUUCUUUCUUAGAGGCUUAAAAGGACUUAAAAUCUUUUCCGAAGCUCCAGUUUACAAGAUGGUGAAUGUCUUUCUUCAAUUAGAUGGUGUAAUUCUGAGUUACUUAUUGCUUGUGAGGCGCGUUCGUAGUCGUUGUCGCUGUUUUACUGCAUUAAUUUGUCAAUUGCCUCCGUCGUCGAUGUGCUCGUAGAAUAUUGGUCAAUAUUGUUUGCAGUUGCUUUUAGUUAUUAUUGACUUUUAUCUCGCAGUCCCUUUCUCUUAUUAAUCUCUAUUUAUAUUUCCUUAGAAGCUUUUUUUUUUUUUUUUUUUUUUUCUUCUUUCUUUGGGGGGGGGGGGGGGGGAGCGAGGAGGACCGAGCUGAUGCUCGAGCGAGGCUUACACCGCUCAAGCUUGGCUUGAAAUUAAUUUCGAGCCUAAAUUUAGCCUCAAGCUCAGCUUGAAAUUAAUUCGAGCUGAGCUUGAGCGAGCCUAAUUUCCAGUCGAGCGACCUCGAGCCCUAAACGAGCCGCUUGAAAUUUUUAAUAUCGUACGAUCAAUAGUUUAAUUCAUACAGAACAUUAUCUACAAUUUGAUAUAAAAAUAUAUCUAAUAGUUCAAAAUAUAAAAUAAUUAUAUAAAAUACGGUAUUAUAAUAUGAGGAAAAAUAAUUUAUGAAUUGAAUAUUUAAUCUUUUUAACCUUGUAUGUUUUUACUUCCGCCUUCAAUUUUCAUAUUAUUCCUUUUAAUCCAUGCGGUCAAAAAUAAAUAAACUAUAUAGCGAAAUAUUGAAUUACACUAUCCAAUCAUAUAUGACUAAAAUUAAAAUUUUGUAUAAAUAAUAUUUUUAUUUGAAAAAUAUUUUAUAUAUUUUCUUAAGCACACAACUAAUGGCAAGGUUGGUAACAUCGGGCGCGUGUUAUUACUUGGUAACUUGGAGAGCUUCAGGCUUAGCCGCUUGGUGUGUGUGAGAGAGGGAGAGAGAGAGAGAGAGAGAUACUAGGGCCCUGUGAAAAAAAAAGAGUGAGAGUAUGUAAAUUUAGGAAAAUUUUACCUUUUUGUUGGCAUAUUGAGUUUGUUUUUAUGGGCUGACAAUAUAGGCCCAAUUUUAACUAAAUUCAGAUUCUCACUCAGCCUACAUAUAAUUAAUAUAUAUAUAUAUAUAUAUAUAUAUAUAUAUAUAUAUAAUUAUAGUAUUUAUAGUCCGGCUGGGUAUCUAUCGAUGCACCAAGGAUUUGGGUGCUAUCGAGUUUCUAUGUAGAUAGGUAUGCUUUGCAGUAUUUUUUACCCGGUUAGAUUAUACUAUUAACAAUUACUCACCGAUCCUUAGGAGGUAAUACAUCUACACUCUUUUUUAACAAUGGCUAAAAUUUCAGUGCACAAUUAGAUUGUGCUAUGAGUUUUCGCGUAGUUUAUAUAUAUCAUAGAGAGAGAGAAGGUUGGACUGGGUAUAUUUAGUAGCAAAAUCCAUUGUUUAGCUUACCAGUUUUUAGUUUGGAUCAAUGCUUUUCAUCAUUUCUAACCAUUGGAUUAAUACUAUAACCCAGUGGGGACAUAACCCUAGGGGGCACUAAACUCUAAUGACUAAUAUUCAUCCUAACCCUAAAUUUUCAUCCAAUGGGCUAAAGAUUGAUAGUCAAAAGAAGGGUUUACUAGUAAUGUUAUUCGUAGUUAUUAUAGUAUAUAUAAUAUAUUAUAUACUAUAUAUAUAGUAUAUUACUAUAUGUAUAGAGUAUAUAUAUAUAUAUAUAUAUAGAGUUGAUCUAUGAUACUUUUACAGUAUAUCCCCAUGUUGCUAGUCACUUUUUAGCCCUGUGGUAUAUUUUUUGAUACAAAUAGCCCUGGAUCAACCUAUUUCACUACCUACAUCCUACCACUACCCAUCAUCUCACCUACAUCCUCAUCAGGGCUAAAACACACAAGUAUCACUUGGGUGAUACUUGUAAAAGUAUUCUAGCCCCUAUCAUCUCUCUCUUAUUAUAUAUAUAUAUAAUUAGGCUACUGAUACUAUUUGAGUACCCGGAGUCUGAGUACUAUAGUCUUGUUUAUCGUCUUAAGGUGUUCAAUUAACGCUCCACACUGUUAAAUUGAUCUAGAGAUAUGAAGUCUUAGCAAAUAAAUUUUAGUUUUUUUCGACAUCGUACUUAGUAAAUAAAUUAUGUCAAAAGCGGGUGAAAUUGAAUAAUUUUCAAAUUUGGCAUGCACUUUUAAUUCAAGAUCAAGAUGUUAACCUUUAAUUAGAUAGUUUAACUAUUUCUAUCAAAUUAUGGAAGAAUUUAUUCUUCUGACGUUAAACUCCAAACUCGAAUAACUAGCCAUUAAAAUAUGACAAUUUUGAAAUGGUUUGAUAUAAAAUAGAAUUAUGGCGAAAAAAUAAAAUUUUAUUUCUAAACUUUAAACCCUAGAUCAAGUUUUAACGGUGUGGAUCGUUGAUUUGAACACGUAAGAUCGAAAUGAGAUUAUAUCUACCGAACCCCCCCGGUAAUAUAGAUAGUAUAGGACGCAGCGGCUAUAUAUUACUAUAUGAGAGAGAGCGGAGACUAGGAGAGGGAACUGGAGAGAUUAGAGAGAUGAGAGAGAGUGAGCUGGAAGCUAUCGGGGGGUGCAAACUCGGCUUUCGUUGUCACCGUUGUUUUCGAUUAUUGGGAGCCUUUAAUAUGACGAUCGGGCACGGUUGAAUUGAGCUAUACCUUAAAGUAUUUAGAAACCAAAUUUAAAUCAUUUCGACAUCGAUUGAGCCUAAUGAUCAAGCGUUUCAAAUUUGUAAUUUUAUUCAGGUAGAUAUGAGGCGUUUUCUUACUUUAAGCGGUGUAAAACUAAUAAUCAUUGAUUUGGUUAGAAAAUUCUUUAGAACUAUUUAAAUAGAAAUCUAUACUCGGUCGAGUUGAUUACAAAUGCCUAUCGUUCACUUUUAGAGGAAUUCAAUUUCAGCGUUCAUUUUUACGCACUUGAUGGACAAGGAGAACAAUAUCGGAAAACAUAAAGAUUUGAUUUCUAGUAUCUUCAGUGCGAUCUGGAUUUGGAUUGCUACAUCUCGAAAAGGUAUGACAAUGAGCCCGUUGCUACGAUGAGUAUUCUAGCUAACUUAUAUAUAUAUAUUAUUAUAGAGUUGAGUCUAUGGAUACUUUUACCAAGUAUCACCUCAUGGUGCUUAUUAGGUGUUUUAAGCCAUUGGAUCUUACUUUUUUGAUAUUAAUAGCUCCUUGUGAUAAGAACUAUUCACCUGACACACCUCACCUAUCUCAACCUAUCAUCUCUCCAUCAAGGGCCUAAUAAACAACACAAAGUAGCACACAUAUGACUUUUAAGUAUUUCGGAGCCUAUCAUUAUAUAUAAGAUAUAUAUAAUUAUAUAUAUUAUAUUCAAGCUUCACUUUGUUUUCGAUGUUCGGACUUCGAUCGACGAGUCGUCCGUGUAGAGUUGAUCUAGUUUUUAAGUACAAGAAAUUAAUUUUUGCGAUUUUUCGAUAUAUUUGCCUAGUGAUCGAAGGGGAUCAAAAUCAAUAAUUUAAGGGCCGUGGUGAGCUGUUGGCAGUUUUAACGGUUUUGGUUGUUAGAAAUAUCAAAUCCGUGAAAUUUGAUAGAAUUCUUAUAUACCAUUAUAAACAAAGACAAUAACUUUAUGAUCUAAAAUUUUUAAUGUCAUAUCAUCAUAUUUAGUGAGAUGUUUUAUUUUCAGCCGUUGUGAUUUGGAGCUCAUUCAUCACUAGGAAAUGAUAUCGAAAGAUCGCAAAUUUGAUUUUCUAGCAUUAUUUCAAAUACUCUAUAUUCAAGUCUAACGAGAGCGGAUCGUCGAUUUGAAAUCGCCAACAUCGAAACAAGGGAAGAACGGAGCGCUCGUGCUUUCCCAAAGACCACAGAGCACGUUUAAUAUAUAAUAUAGUAUAUAUAUAGAUAUAUUAUUUAAUAUUAUUCAAGAUUUUUCGAGGCCUUAAUUCGACCUUUGUGAGCCCGAGAAUACUCAAGCCAGCUUGGAAUGAAUUCCGAGAUUUUUUUUUUUUUGUGUUCAAGGCUCGGGCUAUUAAUUUCAAGUCGAGAUAGUGGGCGAAUAUCGAGGUCGAAACGAGCGGCUCGCUCAUUUGCAGGCCUGUUGUGGCGGUGGAGCGGAGGGCGACAUCUCUAAUGUUUUUUUUUUUUUUUUUUUUGUUUUUAUGUUUUUUUUUUUUUUUUUUUUUUUUUUUUUUUUUUCUUUUUUUUUUCUAUACUCCUUGGGAGUGAUCAAAAUGCCUUACUUUGAUUUUAAAAAAUCCUUCAAUUUUAAAACUCUUAUUAGGGCUAUAAUGAAUUGGAGUAUAGAAGAGUUUUUGAUAAUUUCAUCUGUUUAAAAUUUGAAUUUUAAAUUUUUUCGGGUUUGAUCAGGAUCUCUCUUAUUCACUUUGGUUAUGACUCUCUGACAUGGCUCUUCAUUUAUGUAUACGGGUCGAGGAUGCUACUUGUUAGGCAGCCUAUUGGUUCCUGGUUUGUAAUUUUUAAUAAUUAUAUUAUAUUUUUUAUUAAAAUAUUUAAAUCAUAUUGGUAAAAUUAUGUUUGGGUAGUUCUGUAAAUAGUGUUGACGAUAGUAGUAAUUAUUGUAGAUUCUCAUCGGCAGAAUUAUUAAAUUUAUUAUGAGUAAGAGGUAGCUAUUUUUAUUUUGUGUACAUAAUAAAAUUAUUAGUAGUUCAUUAUAAGAACAUAUAGUUUUUAACAACUUUCUAAUUUGAAAUGGUUUGAAUAAGAUUCGAGUAACAUAUUUGCGUGCGUAAUCUAAGAAUUAUAGCACAGUUUUUUCGCAAUCUUUACUAAUUUUAAACCAAAAUUGGGUAAUAAACUGUAUAAUCACAUAGCAUCAAUAAAAUUAGUACAUAAGAUUUGGGCCCAUUGGCAUAUUGCAAUUUACAAAGAAGAAUAUUAAGUUUAUUAGGGGUAAUGCAAUCUUUAAUCCUAUUCCUUGGUUUCACACAUUGGUUCUUAUGUUUAGUAUCUAUGGCGUUUAAUGUGCAUUCAUUUAGUCAUAAGUAUGAUUUCAUUUUUGUCUUUUUAUUUUAAUUUACUAAUUUUUUUUUCAUUAAAUCAGUACAACGUUUAUAACGUAAACGGUACUAAAGUGACUAUUUGAUAACAUCUUAGAUAGGAUAUCGGGAAGUUUUUGUGAUAUAAAGAUUUAACGAGAAUAUUAACGACAAAGUUGACAAAUUUAACGAAAUUUAACGAAAAAUGAGAAAGCAUAAAAUAAAAUCAGGAUAUACUUGUUACACUUUAAACAAUAGGGAUACUAAGUGAGAACUAUGCGACCACGAAGGUGAGUAUUGAAAGUUUGCAUUUAUGAUUAGUUUUACCUUUAUUAAUAUUUUUUUUUUUUUUCCUCUUCCUUUUUUUCAGAAUACAAUUCAUUCCUCUCACCAACCAAAAAAGCAGCUAAAGAAGUAAUAAACAUCUCAGCAAUUCUAUAUACAAUUUCGCGAAACAGUUUCAGAUUCUUCUUUUAAGUUCAAACACAAACUUUAAGAUGCAAAUCCACUCGAGAAGAAUCGGAGCUUCGAGAACGAAGUUAAAAUUAGUGUUGCUGAAAGUAGAGCAUUCUAAGUGCCCUCCCCAUCCGCGGUGUAGACCGGAAUCUGCCAGUUCUUGUUGUUCUUCUUGGGGUCAUCUGUCAGGUACAGAUCAUUCUCAUCUUCUCUGAAUGUCUUCACAAAUGUUUUCGCGCCCGACAUUACCAACCUCUCCACUAUAAAUAGCUGGUAAUUGUUCUCGAUCACCGGGUCUAAUAUCUCGCUGAAAUUCGACGAAUAUGCUAACCUAUACCUGUAUUAAAAAAAGAAACCAUAAGAUCGAAAAUACUAGCAUUUAAUGAACAACUUCAGAAUUGUUGCGACUGUAACAAUACUAUUUCUGCAUCUUGGAAAGGAGAAUGCUUGGUUUUCAAUUCAAAGUGUCUAAUUCAAUUCAGGAAAAUUAACUCGAAUCAAUGAAUCAACGGUUGAGAUGUCGAUCAGGAGAAGAAUGGCGGGUAUUUCUGAGUUUCAGUUCAGUGAAAGUCAUAACCUGGCAGACAGUGGGGAAAAGAAGCCCGGCGUCCUCUCAUUCGAAGCGAUGAAUAUCGUCCGUCCUGGAGCAAUCCAUUUCGCUAUUCUCCGUUGAAUGGAUUCUGGGCGGGUGUCCCUGUCGAGGUGCGGAUGAAGGGUUCUGACGACUCCGAAUUCAUCUUUCCUGGUCGCCAUUUUGUCCCCUCUCCGCACGUGAACGGCGUCGUAAUCACGGAGCAAAGCUUCGAUCUGCAAAGACUACUGCAUGUUGUUAUGAUAAGAGGAUUUCGAGCUGUUUGAGCGUUUAAUUUGUACGAUUCACAGUACAAAAUAAUCGAAGGAAGCAAACAACUUAUGCCGCAUUGAUAAACCAGCAUGCUCUAGAACAGAUAUUGAUUUGGUGAUAAACGAUACCUUUUCUGCCGCAUCUCUCAAUCUUCUACUUGCCAUCCUCGGCAGAAAAGAGUACGGCAGCAUUACGGAGCUGCGAUUCGCUCGAUCCUUGCACUCCGUGAACCUAAAUUUUAUUACCACGAUCAAGACUAGCUCUUCAAUAGAUCUUUUACGACUCAAGCAUUAAAUCGAAGCCCCAAUCUUCGUCACCUGUAUCAUUUUACUACACUUUGAACUGCAGUGUACAAAGUAAAAUCGAGAUUUUACCAUGCCAGAGGACUCGCCGUGCGGUUUAUGAGCAGAACAUCGGAGUACAUGCACUUCUCUUUGAGCUCCGCCCGGCUAAUUCCCUGUACAUGGGCUAUCCCCCGCUUUCCGAGCCUCGUACUUUUCAACAGUAUCUGAUACCACGCCUUCGAAUUGUCCAAAAUCACUGGAACUGUUCGCGAAAUCAGGUCUAUAUCAUACAAAGAGUCCAUCGCGCAGAAAUUUGCUUCCCACCUACAGAAGAUUGAAUUCUACUCAUUAUUCAUCAACACUUCAAACAAUGCAUUCAAAGCUCUUUGCGGCGCAUUGCAGUAAAAUAGGCUAAGUUUAGCGAGUUUAUUGGCAAAUCUUUCGUAAUCACGGAAUUUUCACGAAACCGGACACGAGACUAGCACUGUUUCAGAACAUUCGUGGGAACUGCACUGAAUUGGGCAGAGACCUGUCCUCUGAGCUUCCAUUGUUGGAUCGGCGGCGGAGAAUCCCCUUCUUGUUAUGUAUUGGAUUAAUGCACAUUCUGGAAGGCAUCACAAACACUCUGGAGAAGUUACUGAAGUUAGUAAGCAAAUAAUAAGAUAUAGUAGUAGAACAUAGCAAAUGAAUGGAGCUGAAAAAGAAACUAAAAUCAUGAGACAUUGCUAAUCCUUGCAAAGAGUGGAAAUUAUUGCAUUGUCACUUGUAAAAGGUUUCAAUUCUCUAUCUCCGUCAAGUUGUGAAAUGUCGCAGAUUCGUCCCUACUAGUUGAACUAGUAUUAGCAACUUGUUGGGUCCAACCAUUGGUUCAAAAUGCACUAGUCCAGUAAUUGAUAAUUUAAUACUAGAGUGAUUAUUACUCCUUAUAUAUCCAAAUAAAAUCCAUUUACAUCCAAUAUAGGAAAUAUUACAGUGUUGAAAUAAUGCGAUGCUGCACCUGCCUUCUUACUGUAACAUACUAGUCCACUAAGGGGCUGUUUGAGUGCAUGUAGUUGCAACUGCAAAUCCGACAUUUUUCGUUCGAUGCGUUUGAAUCCAACUAUCGCAGUUGGAACUGCAUGAGGAUGCCCAACUGCAGUCUGCAGCAGUUAGAGAGAGCAACUUCAAACAAGAGGUAAGCUUACGUCCUUAAUUUUUUUUUUUUAUAAUAUUAGAGGUAAUUUCACCAUUAUAUAUAUAAAGUGAUAAAAUUUUACAAACACAUCUCUCAACUCCAUGCAACCAAAUAAAUUAUUUAUAAUUGCAGCGGUUUCUACUACAUACAUCUAAACAAAAUAUAUGUAGUUGUAACUGCAUGCAUCUCUAACAACACUGCAUUUCUAAUUACAUUAAACCAAGCGACCCUGAUAUUGGCGGCUUGUUAAACCUAUAUCAUCAGCGCAAACACUUAAGCCCAAGUUAUUAAUACUAUACACACAAAAGCACUAAUAUUAGCAACAUGCUGGGCCCAAACUAUGGGCCUAAAAUACUUAGUCCAAAUUAUUGGUAUUAGAAUACCUAGUCUCCUUAGAUCUUGAUAUUCUUGUCACACAUAGUCAAGGAUCAUCGAGCGAUAUGAUCCUCGACUAUGAUACAAAAUGUAACGAUUCGGCCGACUAGUAUCAGCAAAUUUGUUGGGCCCAAAUCACCGGCCCCCCCAAUGCUUAAGCCAAUAAUAAUGCUUACAAAUUGCCCAAGCCCAACCAACUAAUAAUAGGGAUGCAAAUGAACCCCUAGGUUGAUGGAGCUCCCGCUCCGAUCAGCCUCGAAUGCGAUGGUAGGUGGGGCCAAAAAUAAAAAAUUGCCCUCUCCGAAUCCGCCCUGAUCCGUAAUAAAAUGGAGAGAAAGAGAGAGGUGAAGGAUCCCUUCCUUCCUUGCUUGAUGCAUCCCGAUUCAAUAAAAAUCCACCAAGAACUCGCUUUCGCUCUAACUCAUUCCGAAUGGAGCGGUAGGUAGGAGUCAAAAAUAAAAUAAAAAUUAACUCAUUCAUAAUCUAUAGUAUUCUAGCCCGACUCUAUAUAUAAAAAACAAUAUUAUAUAUAUAUAUAUAUUAUAUAUAUAUAUAUAUAUUAUAUAUAGAGAAGAGAGAGAGAGAGAGAGAGAGAAGAAGAGAGACUAGUCUCCUAUACUAUCUACAGUAUCAGCUCCGGUAUCUAUAGUCCCGUUUCGAUGUUCGGGUGUUCAAAUCAACGAAUCCACACCAUUAAGGCAUUGAUCUAGGAUAUUUAAAGUUUUUAGAAAUAAAAUUUUAUAUUUUUUCGACAUAGUUUACUUUAUGAUCAAAGCAUUUCAAAAUUGUCAAUUUUCAAUGGUUACUAUGGUGAGUUUGGAGUUUAACGGUGUGUUAGAGAGAAUCCAAAUUUCUUCAAAUUUUGAUAGAAAAUAUUUUAAACUUUCUAGAUUAAGGUUACAACUUUCUUGAUCUUGAAUUUAAUGCUCAAAUUUUAAAAUAUUCAAUUUCCACCUUCAUUUUGACAUAUUUAUUUACUUAGUAAACAAUAUCCGAAAAAAUUAAAUUUUAUUCCUAAACUUCAUUAUACCCUAGAUCAUAUUUAACGGUAUGAAUCGUUAAUUUGAACACUCUAAGAUCGAAAACAAAGAUAUAAGUACCGGAGCUCGGUACUAUAGAUAGUAUAGUAGCCUUAUCUAUAUAUACUAUAAUAUAUAUAUAUAUAUAUAUGUAUAUAUAUAUAGAGUGAGUGGAAUACUAUCGUAACAAACAGGGCUCUCGUUGCGCACCCAUUGUUUUCGCAUUGAUGGAGCCUCCAAAUCGACAUCUGGCGACUGUUGAAAAUGAUACAUAUACCACUUGGAGAUAUCUAGAAAUCAAAUUUCAUACUGUUUCAUAAUAUUGUUUUCUUGCCUGCUCAUCAAGUGGGCGUAAAAAUGAAUGGCUGAAAAUGAAUAUCAUCUAAAAAGUGAUGAUAGAAUUUUGUAAUCAUGAUCGAGAGUAUAGAUCUUGUUCUAAAUAGUUUAAAGAAUUUUCUAACCAAAAUUCAAUUGAUUUGGAUAGCUUUAUACCGUUAAACGAGAAAACCCCUCACAUCAACCAUUAAAAUUACUAAUUUUAAAACCUUUUGAUCAUUAGGUAAAUGAUGUCGAAAAGAUUUGAAAUUUAAUUUCUAAAUACUUCAAGUGAUAUAGAUCAUGUUCAAUGGUGCCGAUCGUCGAUUUGAAAGCUCCAUCAUCGAAAACAAAUGGGUGGCAACGGAGCCCGUUUGCUACUGAUAGCAUUCCAGCUCAACUCUAUAUAUAUAUAUAUAUAUAUAUAUAUAUAUAUAGUUGAACUAGAAUACUCUCAAAAGCACCAUGAAAGUGGUGCUUUUGAGUUUUUAGCCAUUGGAUGGAGAGAUGUGAGGUUGAGAUGAUAGUGGUAGGUGGUGGUAGGUGAUGGUAGGUGGAAUAAUGUUUGAUCUAAGGGCUAUUAGUAAUUAAGGAGUAGAUCCAAGAGUUAGAAACCUAGAAGCACCAAAAGGGUGAUACUUCUAAAAGUAUUCUAGCCUAUAUAUAUAUAUAUAUAUAUAUAGAGUGGGCUGGUAUGCUUUCGUAAGCACGGAGGCCUCCGUGCUUACGAUUUGUUUUCGAUGUUCGGACUUUCGAAUCGACGAUCGGCUCCGUUAGAGUUGAUCUAGAGUAUUUAAAGUACCAAGAAAUUAAAUUUUGCGAUUUUUCGAUAUCAUUUGCCUAGUGAUCGAAGGGGCUCAAAAUCAAUAAUUUUAACGACCGUGGUGAGCCGGUUGCAAGUUUAACGGUGUAGAAAUAUCCAAAUCACGUGAAAUUUUGAUAGAAAAUUCUUUAUACCAUAUAAAACAAGAUCAAUAACUUUGAUCUAAAAUUUUAAUGUCAUAUCAUCAUAUUUUGUGAGAUUUUUAUUUUCAGCCGUUGAUUUUGAGCCACUUCGAUCACUCGGCAAAUGAUAUCGAAAAAUCGCAAAAUUUAUUUUCUAGAUACUUCAAAUACUCUAGAUCAAGUCUAACGGAGCCGAUCGUCGAUUUGAAAGUCCCAACAUCGAAAACAAAGUGGAAGCACGGAGCGCUCCGCUCCGUGCUUCCGAAAGCAACCCAGACGCACUCUAUAUAUAUAUAUAUAUAUAUAUAUAUAUAUAUAUAUAUAUAUAUAUACUUUUGUGUAGGGUCGAGGUCCCCGCACCUCCGGAGGAAGAGGGCUUCUUCGAGGGCGCAUCGGAGGCUGGAUUCCUGAUGCCCCAAUCCCGCGCACGAAUCGCAAUGCUUCCCCGGGCAAUCGAUCCUCUCCCCCCAGUACACGUAUCUGUGGUUGUCGUGCUUGCAGUACUCCUUGUAUCUAUCGUACGAAGAGGAGGAGGAGGACGAGGAGAAAGAGAGGAUCGAUAUCACCAUCGCCACCACCACCACCACCACCACCACGAGUAGGAGGAGGAGGACUAGGAGGAGGAGGAACCGAGCUAGGGUUCGCGGAGGGGCCCUGGAUUUGUGCUGCCUCGCGAUUCGCGCUGGGAUCGCCAUGAGGAGGAGGAGAGUGUGAGAGUGAACGCGCUCACACACACACUCUCUCUCUCUUUUUGCCUUUUUUUUUUUUUAAUGAUGAUUUAUUUAUUUUAAGCACUAUUAUAUAUGCCGUACAGUGAAAUGAAAGCGCGGGGGAUGAUGGUGUCAGUGUCGGUGCCUGUGCCUGCGCGGGAAAAAUACUGUCCCCUGCACCCGGUGCACCACAGUGGUGCGCCCAUAGACCAGGUGUAAAUUUUGAGGAAGUUUACUGUGUCAUACUUGCAUCGCAUUAGUUGGGGAUGCCAUGCCGACAGUUUAACUGAUGCAUUCUAAAUUUUUUUUUUUCGUGAAUCCUACGUCCUACGUACUCGCACAAAGACCAAUAGAGUUCUCGCAGCGAAUAUUCUAUUUGUACACCUCAGGAAAGGAGUGUAGAUCUUACAAGCUGCUCCGUUCUAUAAUUCGCAAGAAUCUAAAUAGAGAAUGAAAAACUUAUUCCCUGUGGUUUAGCUUAUUUUGACUUUACUCUUUGUGGUUCAAAAAAGUUAUCCUUAAUUAUUUUGAGGUUUAGCUUAUUUUUACUUUGCUGCCCUUCAGCGCAAAAAAAUUAUAUUUGACUAUUCUGCGGUUAUAAAAAAAAAAAAUUUGCAUCAACGUUCUAUUUGACGUAAACAUUUUGGAUAAAAAUCGACAUAAAAUUACAGAAUAAUUAAGUACAAUUUUUUGAACCAUAUGAUGAUAAAGUAAGACUAAACUAAACCACAAGGGUUCAAAUUGAAGUUUACCCUUAAUUCUUUGGGGGUAAAAUUGGGCCUUUGGUCCUCAAACUAUAUAUAAGACGCGUGACAUUUUAGUCCUCAAACUUUAAUUAAUAAUAAUUUUUGGCGUGAACCUAUGAGGUAUGUGAUAUUUUAAUUUUCAAACUUUCCAAAUUGUUACGUUAUCCCUCUCGAUGAUGUAACAAUAAUUAAAAUACUAUGUUAUUUUGAUAUUUGUAAUUUAUCAAUAUUUAUUCAAUAAAAAUUAAAUUGUGAGACAUGAUUACAACAAUUCAGAAAGUUCGAGGACUAAAGUGAUACACGCCUUAUAAUUCGAACUAGAAAUUACAACUAAUCAAAAUUCGAGGACUAAAGUGCUGUGCGCUUUAUAGUUCGAGCAAAAAAUUAUAACUAAUUAAAGUUCGAAGGUACUGCGAGGACAAAAAAUAUAAUUUAUAAUUUUAUCUUUUUUUUCAAUACNUGCCUCGAGAUUCGCGCUGGGAUCGCCAUGAGGAGUAGGGGAGAGUGUGAGAGUGAACGCGCUCACACACACACACUCACACUCUCUCUCUCUCUUUUGCUUUUUUAUUUUUUAUGAUGAUUUAUUUAUUUUAAGCACUAUUAUAUAUGCCGUACAGUGAAAUGAAAGCGCGGGGAUGAUGUGUCAGUGUCGGUGCCUGUGCCUGCGCGGGAAAAAUACUGUCCCAUGCACCCGGUGCACCACAGUGGUGCGCCCAUAGACCAGGUGUAAAUUCUGAGGAAGUUUAUUGUGUCAUAGGGCCUGUUUGGCCUAGCUUCUAAAAAAGUGAUUUCGAAAAAAGUGAUUUUGAUUUGGAGAAAUGAUUUUGGCGAAGAGCUGUAGAGCGUUUGGCAGAGUUCAGAUAGAAGUGAUUUUUUCUGAAGUGAUUUUGAAAAACUGUUUGGCAAAUUUUUUUUCAUGUUUACAUAAAUUAAUAUUUUUAUUAAAUUUUAUUUUAAAAUAAUUUAAAAUCUAAAUUUAAAUUUGAUUUAAAAUUAAAAUUUUUAUAUUUCAAAAUUGUACAAAAUUUAAAAUUUGAUAUUUUAAUUUAAAAAAUAAUAUAAAAUUUUAAAAAUUUAAAGUUAAAAUAAUUAUAAAAUUUAAAAAUAUAUAUAAUUAUGAAUUUUAAAAUAUAAAAUUUUAAUAUAUAAAAAUAUAAAUUAAAAUUAAAAUUUCAAACUUUAAAUUUAGAAUUUAAAUUUUAAAAUUUAAAAUCUAAAUUUAAAAUUUAAAAUUUAAAUGUAAAAAUAUAAAUAAUUGGAAAUAUAAAAUAUAAAAUACUAAGUAUUUAAAAAUAUAUUUAAAUUUAAUUAAAUUUAAAAUAAUUAUGAAUUUUAAAAUUUAAAAUUAAAAUUUAAAAUUUAAAAUAUUUAUGAAAUUUAAAAUUAAAUUAAAAAUUUGAAUUUUUAAAUUAAAAAAUUAAAUUUGAAUAUUUAAAUUUAAAUUUAAUUUAAAUUUUGAAUAUUAAAAUUUAAAUUUUAAAAUUUGAAUAUUUAAAUUAAAUUUAAAAUUUAAAAUUGAAUAUUUAAUUUUAAAUUAAAAUUUGAAUAUUUAAAAUUUAAAAUUAAAAUUUAAAAUUUGAAUAUUUAAAAUUUAAAAUUUAAAAUUGAAUAUUUAAAAUUUAAUUUUAAAUUUUAAAAAUUUGACACAUUUAUAAUUUGAAGAUUAAAAAUUAUAAUUUGAAAUUUGAAAUUUGUAAUUUGAAAUUUAAAAUUAAAUUAAAAUUAAAAUUUGAAAUUUAAAAUUUGAAAUUUGAAAUUUGAAAUUUAAAAUUUGAAUCCGAAAAUUAAAAAUUAAAAUUAAAUUUAAAUUUAAAUAUUGAAAUUAAAAUAAAAAUAAAAAUUUGAAGUUUUAAUCCAAAAUCAGAAUUAGAUUUCAAGAAGCAGUUUUUUCUGCUUCUAAUUUUGGGACCUUCAAAAUCAGUUUUCUGAUUCUAAAAAGUAGAAUCAGAUUUUAAAAGUGAGUUGCCAAACGCUCUAUUGAACCGAAAAUCACUUUUCAGCCCAAAAGCGCUUUUUAAAAGCUAGGCCAAACACCCCUAUACUUGCAUCGCAUUAGUUGGGGAUGCCACGUCAGCAAUAUAGCUGAUGCAUUCUAAAUUUUUUCUUUUCGUGAAUCCUACGUCCUACGUACUCGCACAAAGACCAACGUACUCGCACAAAGACCAAUAGAGUUCUCACAGCGAACAUUCUAUUUGUACACCUAAGAAAAGGAGUGUAGAUCUUACAAGCUGCUCUAUUCUAUAAUCCACAAGAAUCUAAAUAGAGAAUGAAAAACUUAUUCCCUGUGGUUUAGCUUAUUUUGACUUUGCUCUUUGUGGUUCAAAACAGUUAUACUUAAUUAUUCUGAAGUUUAGCUUAUUUUUACUUUGCUGCCCUUCAGCGCAAAAAAAUUAUAUUUGACUAUUCUGUGGUUAUUAAAAAAAAAAAAAUUGCAUCAACGUUCUAUUUGACGUAAACAUUUUGGAUAAAAAUCGACAUAAAAUUACAGGAUAAUUAAGUACAACUUUUUGAACCAUAUGAUGAUAAAGUAAGACUAAACUAAACAACAAGGGUUCAAAUUGAAGUUUACCCUUAAUUCUCUAGGGGUAAAUUGGGCCUUUGGUCCUCAAACUAUAUAUAAGACGCGUGACAUUUUAGUCCUCAAACUUUAAUUAAUAAUAAUUUUUGGCGUGAAACUAUGAGGUAUGUGAUAUUUUAAUUUUCAAACUUUUCAAAUUGUUACGUUAUCCCUCUCGAUGAUGUAACAAUAAUUAAAAUACUAUGUUAUUUUGAUAUUUGUAAUUUAUCAAUAUUUAUUCAAUAAAAAUUAAAUUGUGAGACAUGAUUACAACAAUUCAAAAUGUUCGAGGACUAAAGUGGUACACACCUUAUAAUUCGAACUAGAAAUUACAACUAAUCAAAAUUCGAGGACUAAAGUGCUGUGCGCUUCAUAGUUCGAGCCAAAAAUUAUAACUAAUUAAAGUUCGAAGGUACUGCGAGGACAAAAAAUAUAAUUUAUGAUUUUAUUUUUUUUUUCAAUACUAGAAACUUAAAAAGAGUUUUGUGACUUGUGUGAUGAGAGUAAAGAGUAUUUUACAAUUAUAUAAAGAUGUACAUGUUUUAUUUUUAUUUUAUUUUAUUUUAUUUUAUUUUAUUUCUUUUGACAACAAUUCAAUUAAACUAUUUAGAAAUUAUUUUUUUUGUUUAAAUUACAUAGAAAUUCAAAUGAAUUCUAUUCUGCUUUGCUGUUAGAUCAAAAUUUUUUCGAUAUAAUUAUUUUUUUUAAAAUUUCUUUCUUCAAUAAUAUAGUAAAAGAGAUACUAUACCUAGUUUAAGGAGAAAUAUUUUGAAUAUAAAUAAUAGCAAAUGAAAACUUAAACCAUGGUACUUGAAUGAGUGUUAUUUGUACGGCGAAAAAUACCAUCAAAUCUUUCUGAAGGAAUUGAAUUAUUAUUAACUUGUGGUGCCAAACAGUGGAUUUUAGAAAAAUUAAAAUUUUAUUCUUUCGAAUUUUAUAUUUUGAGAUAGUCAAACGGACAAAAUGUUACGCAUUUGACUGCAUUAUAUUACAACUGCAUACAAAUUCAAAUAUAAUUUUUCGAUCGCUACAUUUGAGUCCAAAUGCAGUAAUUAGCGAAGAAUCGUGUCAUUCAGCUACUACUAAUUUCUCCUCAAUUUCUCUUAGAAGAAAUUUUAACAAUAUCUUGUUUAUUUCUAGAGGACCAAAAUAUUCUUGUUGGUUUAAAAAAAAAAAAAAUCAAAUAUCCUCAUUUUCUUUUAGGGAUUUAAUUAUUAACAAGAUUGAAUUUUAGAAGAAUAUUUUGAUUAUUUUAGAAUAUAUUUGAAAAUUUUAAAUAGCAAUAAAAGAUGAAUAAGAAAAGGGCUCAUUAGAAUAUAUGUUAUUUAUUGAGUACAAUUGGUAUAAUGAAGAUUCCUUUAUUAAUGUGAGAGGGACAAAAAUUUGGUGGGCAUCCGUCCCCAAAUAACUUGUUUGGGGACGGAGCUGAUGGGCGCAGCCUGGUGUACAGGCGUCCAUCACGACCACCCCCUUUCCACCACGGCGCCGCCCCAAACAAGUUGUUUGGGGAUGGAUGCCCACCAAAUUUUUGUCUGUGUGAGAAUUGGGUAGUAAUAAAUGUGACAUUCCACAUGUGCUACACCAAAUUCAAGAAAUAAUAUCUGUAGCUCAGGGGAUAAGGUUAAAAUAAAAAAAACAAUAAAUAACUAGGUAAAUUUUAAUUAGUCCCACGUGGUUUAAAUACGCCGUCCAUUUUUAUAGAUUUAGUUACAAUAUUUUAUAUAACUUUUGCAACUAUAAAUUUAUUAAAAUAAGUAACUAACUUAAAGUUUGAUGACGAAGUUUCAUUGACUGAUUCAAAUCAUGCAACUUGGAAAAUUGGAGAGUAAAAUCAAAUUUUGAACGGUUGGAUAGGUGAUUCAAAAUGAUUCAUAAUUCAUAUCAGUUUUAUUCGUUUUUAUUGUGGUUUAAUAUAUUUUCGCUUGUCAAUCUAUGUUAUGAAAAAAUUUUGCUUUGCUAGUCUGUAAUUUUAUCUUUAUUCUGUUGUAAAAAGCAAUUGUUCCACGAGAUAUUAAUAUAAUAUAUUUGGUAAAUUAUAAGGUGGCUAAAUGAAAAUUAUAAGCUAAUAAAAUUCCACAGUUCGUUACCGUUGGCGUUGCGAACCGAAGUCACACAUUGUUGACCGAAUCAAAUCGUUGACUAGGUUAAACGGGCCUACAGGUUGUGGAUCGGCUCUGGAUUGACCCUCGAGUGUGCCUCGAAAUCAAGUGAUCGGGUUGAGGAGGGAUCAGCUUAAUCGGGUUCUCUCACUCUCUACUCGUAGAAUGAAGCGACAAGACAAACUUGGCUGAAAGAUCCGAACUGAUUAUAUUCACUCUGCUGAAAAUACUUACAAGGAUUACAGUAGUUGACUAAAGCUACUCCUAAAAAGCUAUUAAAAACUGAAAAUGGAAAGAUUGAUGGCUAUUCCUAGCUAGAAAAUGGUAAUUGCUGGAAUUGAAAGGAAUUUGAAAACGCUGUGAUAGCUUGUUUGCGUGAAGAGCCCUUAUUGCAGGCGCGUUUGACAUCUUCUGCCUACGGUAUUGGAUAAUUGGCAUUGUAUAGGAUAAUUCGGCUGCAUCCCCUGUUUUUACGGAUGUACUUGGGCGAGUAGCUUCCUGGCUACGAAAUUUCUUCUCCCUGUUCUUAACCGUUGCUGCCCAAAUCCCGCUGGUAUCCAGGCGCUUCUUUUUCGGAUCCUGGUGUACCAUAUAUCAUUCCCUGAUUUGUCCAUGUCAGCUAGCCAUGUUGACCGAGCCAUUUACCACGUGGUGCCACUUUUUCGGCGCCAGUAGCUACUACGUGGUGUAUAAAAUAUAUCAUUUUACUCUCCCAUAUUUUGUAAAUUCUGACUUUUUGUUACCUCACUUGCAGUAAUGCAAAGAGAAAAUUAUAGAAUAGCAAAGUCAAACAUUUUAGACAAGGGAAAGACGGAGGAAAUGCGCUAAACUACAAAAGCUAAUUACAUUAUCUACAUGCUGCGUAUAUAUAUAGGAUUAUACCUGAAUCCUAGUAUAAUUAAAAAUAAUAAAUUUAGUAUAUCUCUAAACCUAAACGGAUAAAAAAUAACUAAAUAAUCGGAUUCAAAAUAGAAAAGUAUAAUUUUUUUUGAAAAUAACCUAAAACAGCAAAAACGAAGGCCUAAAUACUUCAAUUUGGAUUCCAAACUCAGUAGUUGUUGUUCAAUGCAAUAGGAUCUCAAAAAAUAUUUUUCGAAUUGGGGUUGUACGCUGAAAACAAACACUCUGAAACUUAAUUUCCCAUUCCUUAGAUUACGCCAAAUCGAAUAUAUAGAACAUUAUACACGAGUAAAUAUGCAGAAGAGAGUUAAGCAAAGGUAUUUGGGAUAAUAUCUAAUAAACUCUUCAAAACUUUAAAAAAUCUUAUUUAUUUCUGUAGGAUCAAAAUAUCCUUAUUGAUUAUAAAAAAACUUUUUCAAAUAUCCCCAUUUUCUCUAGGAUUUUGAUAAUUUUAGAGUAAAUUUAAAAAUUUUGGAUAGCUGUAAAAUAAGCAAAAGCCUCUUUGAUACUUUCAUAUUAUUUUUAAUGAUAGAGCAUUGAAUAUCAUCUCCCACGUGUGAACUUCUUAAUGAAGCAAAUUUUAUAAUUUUGUGAUAUUCUUUUAUGGGAUAAUUGCCUAUAUACCUCUCAUGCGUCUGGAAAUAUCCGAUCUACUCCUACUUUUUUUUUCUUUCUAAAAUGCCCCUCAUAUAUUCCACCGUUAUUCCAAAAUACCCCUGCAGUUAUCCCUUGUUAGCUUAACUCGGGUUAAACAUGGGUUAAAUGUAUACUAGAGUUAAAACCUAUAUAAAAUACCUAUUUUACCCCUACCUUAUUAUUCUAAUCCCUUAAGUUAUCCUCUUCCUCUCCCAACUUGAUCGCCUCCUCCGCCUCUACCUUGCCGGCUUCUCCGCCUCCACCUCGCCUCAUCUACUCCACUCCCAGACCACUACCACCUCUCACACCUCCACCUCCAACACUACCUCUCUCGUCGCUCUCGUCGUCCUCCUCCUCCGCCACUCUCGUCGUCGUCCUCCUCCGUCGCCCUCGACUUCUUCUUGUCCCUCCGCGGUGCCGUCCUCUCCGAGCGCUUCCGCUGGGGUGACCGCUUCCGCCCCUUGGUCCCCUCCCUGCGCGCCUCCGCCGCCGCCGACCCCUCCGCCCUCUCGAAGCGCAAGCUCCGCGUCCUCCUCUUCUCCCCCGGGCCCCCUCCCUUCCAGGAUGGGGUAGUCGCCCGAGUCGUGGCCCAUCUAGCCGGACUGGAUCCAGAGGAGGCCGACGAGGGCGCCGGACAGCAAGUGGGCGAGCGGGGAGGGGGAGAGACGGACGAGAAGGACGGCGGAGAGGGGGAGCGCGAGCAUAGCGAGGAGGGAGAGGAAGGGGAGGAGCGGGGAGGGGUGGAAAAGGCCGAGGCGGGAGAACUCGGAGCAGAGCCAGCGGUAGUCGGCGGAGGCCGGGAAGACGGCCGGGUCCGAGAGCCGGACGACGAGGAAGCGGAAGAGGAGCGGGAAGGCGGACGGGGAGUGUUGCGCGGUGUUGAGCGCGGAGAGGAGCAACCGAUGUGCAUGGUCCACGAGGCCAGUUUGGCCUCGUGGACCGGAUGAGAGGGAAGUCCGCGGUGGACCUCCCUCUCAUUUUAUAUAUAUAUAAAUAUAUAAAUAUAUGUAUAUAUAUAAUUUUAUUUAUAAAUUUAUAAUUAUUUAUUAAUAUUUUUAAAUAUAUAACUCUUAUAUAUUAUUAAUAUAUAUUUAUUAUAAUUUUAAAUAUAUUUAAUCUAUAUAUAAAUAUUAUAAUAAUAAUAAUAUAUAUAGUAUAAUAUCAAAUUUUUAAAAAUUAUAUAUAAAAAUUAUAUUUGAUUCCGAAUUUUUAAUUGGUGAACGUAUAAUACCCGUAUAAAUCACGUAUCCGAAUAACUGCCGAAUCCGUUUUUUAGCCGUAUUUUUCAACGAAUUUAAAAAAUAAAAGACGAAUUUUAUCCGAAUUAUAUCCGUACCGAAUUUUUGCCAAAUUCGAAUUAGCUAACUAUGCCUCCAGCCACCAAGGUUGGUUUAGCUGCAAUCGAUCUCAUCCAUUCAUUUACUUGCUCCCGACGCUAAUUAAUUAAUUGAUAUUUGAAGGGCAAAUAAGAAAAGUAUUUGCUAUAUGAAGGGUAUAUAAGAAAAGUUAGUUACGGUACAAGGGUAUAUUGGAAUAGGUAAAAUGGUAAUUUUUCAGAGAUAAUGGCAGCUCACUAACGGAACUUAACUACAGGGAUAUAUUAGAAAGACUUGGAACAUAAGAAGAGUAUUUUCAAUAUUAGCCUUUUAAGAGGGGUAAAUAAGAAAACCGAGAACUUUUCAGGAGUAUAUAGGCAAUUGCCCCUUUUUUUAUUUACCUAUUAUUAAGGGAAUCAGUUUUUUUAGAAAAUUAUAAAAUUUGAGUCUUAUAAUGUUGGAGGGAUAACCCAGAACAAUGCAUAAUAUCCUCCUUUAUCCCCCCAAACACAAUGCAAAAUGGAAUAUCUCCCUUGUUCUGGGUUUAACGGGUUAUUCCUGAAUAACCCGUUAAGUCCAGUUCUCCUUUACAUGAAGAACAAGCUAACUAGAACAGAAAAUUUUAUGCUACUAAAUUAAUGUUUCUAAGGUGAUUUGUAAACAUACCAAAUUUGUGAAAUAAUCUGCUCUUCUAUAUUUAAAAUUAUAUAUUUAUAUUUAAUUUUAAUUAAUUUUAAACAUAAAAUUAGAAGUAUAUUUUUACUGCUAUAUUCAAAAUUAUACUAUCUAUAUCUAUAAUCUAUAAUCUAUAAUNGCCACCAAGGUUGGUUUAGCUGCAAUCGAUCUCAUCCAUUCAUCUACUUGCUCCCGACGCUAAUUAAUUAAUUGAUAUUUGAAGGGCAAAUAAGAAAAGUAUUUGCUAUAUGAAAGGUAUAUAAGAAAAGUUAGUUACGGUAUAAGGGUAUAUUGGAAUGGGUAAAAUGGUAAUUUUUCAGAGAUAAUGGCAGCUCACUAACGGAACUUAACUACAGGGGUAUAUUAGAAAGACUUGGAACAUAAGAAGGGUAUUUUCAAUAUUAGCCUUUUAAGAGGGGUAAAUAAGAAAACCGAGAACUUUUCAGGAGUAUAUAGACAAUUGCCCCUUUUUUUAUUUACCUAUUAUUAAGGGAAUGAGUUUUUUUAAAAAAUUAUAAAAUUUGAGUCUUAUAAAGCUGCGUUUAGUUGGAGGGAUAACCCAGAACAAGGCGUAAUAUCCUCCUUUAUCCCCCCAAAUACAAUGCAAAAUGGAAUAUCUCCCUUGUUCUGGGUUUAACGGGUUAUUCGGGAAUAACCCGUUAAGUCCAGUUCUCCCUUACAUGAAGAACAAGCUAACUAGAACAGAAAAUUUUGCCUUUUUUUUUUUUUUUUUUUUUUUCUGUUAUGCCCUUUUAUUCCCUUUAUACUUUAUUUUAAUUAAUUUCAAAUACAUCAAAUGAAUGCUCAAAUUUUAUGCUACUAAAUUAAUGUUUCUAAGGUGAUUUGUAAACAUACCAAAUUUGUGAAAUAAUCUGCUCUUCUAUAUUUAAAAUUAUAUAUUUAUAUUUAAUUUUAAUUAAUUUUAAACAUAAAAUUAGAAGUAUAUUUUUACUGCUAUAUUCAAAAUUAUACUAUCUAUAAUCUAUAACUAUAUAUUAUUCCUCAAUAACUGCACACGUGUCGCGAGGAGGCCGCGGCAUGGGCGAGGGCGGGGGGCGCCGGCGGCCGCGGGCGCUGGCGCGGAGCGGGAGCGGGCGUGGUGCGGGNCGCGAGGGCGCGAGCGCGGGGCGCGGCACGGCGCGGCGCAGCGCGGAGCCGAAAAAACAUCGGGGCUCAUAGGGGUGGUGUUCACGGGGUCCACGAGGCCGAAGUGGCCUCGUGGACCACAUGAGAGGGAGGUCCACGGUGGACCAUUUAAAUUCUAAAAUUAAUUUUUAUAACUAAUUUUUAAAAUUAAAUUUUAAAAUAACUACCCGCAGCAUCGCGCGGGUCCCUUAACUAGUUAUAUAUUAAUUCUAUUUCGAUUCUCAUAUAUUGAAAUAUAUUUUAUUAUUAUAUUCAAGAGCAUAAUUGUCAUUUUACUUAAUUUUUAUAAAUCCAAUACCUUAUUCCAACAUAAACAUUCAAACACGAUAUAGGAAUAUUCUAGGAAUAAACAAAUAACAUCCAAACGUAAUUUAGAACUUGUUCUAACUUAUUCUCGAGAAUAACAAAAGCUAUCCUCCAAAAUUUAGUUAUCGCACCAAACGCAGCCUUAGGAAGUUCGAAUUUUGUAGAUCAAAUUUAUUGAAAUUAAAAAUAAAUAUUAAAUCUUAAAUUUGCAAAUUUUCAAAUUCAAAUGUAUUGGGGAUGUAGCUCAGAUGGUAGAGCGCUCGCUUAGCAUGCGAGAGGUACGGGGAUCGAUACCCCGCAUCUCCAAAUUUUUAAAGCUUUUUUUUAAAUUUUGAAAUUUUUUUUUUUCAAAUUUAAAAAUUUGUCUAAAGUUUUGAUCAAUGCGUAGAACCAAAAAAAUGUUCCACUUUGGCAUCUAAUAAGGGUUAAUUCCGUUUUUCAAAUUAUAAAAUUUGAUUCUUAGGGAGUUCGAAUUUCGUAGAUUAAAUCUAUUGAAAUUAAAAAUAAAUUUUAAAUUUUAAAUUUUAAAUUUUAAAAUUUUUAAAAAUUUAAAUGUAAUGGGGAUGUAGCUCAGAUGGUAGAGCGCUCGCUUAGCAUGCGAGAGGUACGGGGAUCGAUACCCCGCAUCUCCAAAUUUCUAAAGUUUUGAUCAAUGCGUUGAACCCAAAAAAAUGUUCCACUUUAGCACCUAAUGAGGGCUAAUUCCAUCAUUCGUCCCCAACAUUUUAUUUUUUUUGUAACCAGGCCAUUCAAAUUUUAAAAUUUGUCCAAAAUUUUUGAUUUAUUUAUUAAAUGAAAAUGCUGCAUCUCUAAAUAAUUUUCAAACUUAAUUUUUUUUGUUUUCAAUUUAUAAAUUAUGUACUGAACCAAAAUGGCCCAUUUGGCUUCUAAUAAAAGAUGGCUAAGAUACAUAUAAAUAUCUAUUUUGUAUUUGAACCCCUUAUCUUUUAAAAAUUUCUACUUUACUCCCUCGAAAUUUAAAAUUAUGGCCCUUAACUUGACACUCUUGCUUCUUUGUCUCUAUUCUGUGCAUACAUUAUAUGGUACAACUGGAUAACAAUUAAUAAACCUAUUUAGUUUGUAAAUUUUUAAAAAACUUAUUGCUAAAUAUUAGGAGAUCUUUUUCAUAAAAUUAUGGAAAAGCUUCAAAUACCACCCCUGUGGUUUCACAUUUUUUCACUUUAACAUCCCGUAGUUUAAAGUGUAUCAAUUUAGUAUCAUCUGGUUUGGGUGCUAAUUAAAGGGCCUAAUUAAGGAAAAGUUAACGUUGGGAAUUCCAAUGUUAACUUUUCUCAUUGUUCACAUAGUGCAAUAAAAACAUUGGAGAAAACAAGUGAAAAAAAAAAAAAUUAUUUUAAGGUUUUCAUCAAUUUUUUAUUUUCUUGAUUCUUUUGUUGCUGGGUGUUGAAAGAAUCUCCGUCAACCUCUUCCGCGUUCGUACUCAUAGGAGGAGGAAUUCCAGUCCUAUCUUGGGAUGGUUUUCGGUUAAUCCCGCACGAAGGAUGAGAAUAUACACCUUACGGCAGUGCCUCACACGCUUCCGGAUCAAAUUGUUUGAUAUUAUUCUUCCACAAAUUUUAGAAUUUAGCGAUCAUCUAUCAGUUAAAUUUAUUAAUUUCAUUACGAAAUUAGUUAGAUUUUAUCACAAUCGGAUUUUUUGUCGCGGUUUUUCCAACAAAAAAUAAGCAAUUUGGAGACCACCUGAAUAAUAAGUAAAUGAUAUCAAAAAAUCGUGAAAUUCAGACUCUAAAAAAUUCAAAUAUUCUAAAUCAAGUUUCACGGUGGAUAAUCGUCGAUUCAGAUGUAUGAUGAGGAAGUAAACACCACCUUUUUACUUGUAGAAACAUCUAAAUUUGUUCCAUAUACAAUGCACAAUUUACCUUUCAUCACAAGCAGGAAAGAGUAUAUAAUCUUAUUGACAGUAAAAAGAGUUCCACAGUGCAUAAAAACUGACGUAAACCGGCCUCGAAUUCCCUCUAGGCCUUCAAAUUUUCUUUUUCUUCUAACCUCAAUAUGUACAUUUCUCUUAAACAUCUUCAGUUACGCCACAAUUCGAUCGAUUCCGAAAAAGAGUAAAAAAAAAAAAAAAAAAAAAAAAAAAGCUUACACUGAAUCGACGACUUCGGUUGGUUUGCGACGACAUCUCAUUCACCUCGAUUUCGUGGCAUUUAGGAAUACGCAAACUCACCUCUUCGAGUUUUGAGGAAGGGGGUACGCAAUUACGCGCUAAGCUUUUGGGAUCGAGCGUGCUGAGAUCCCGUGUAGGAGUUUUACGAAUCCGAGGAAGCUGAGUUUUCCGUCGUUAUGUCUGAUCCAAUCUUGGAGAACGACGUGAACGGGCACCGAAGGGCUAAGCCCGAGUUCCUGGUUAAAACAUGCAACUACUGUUAGAAAGAACAUAAAAAAAGAAAUUGGGGACACCUAUACAACUUUAAUCUAAGGACAAUAACAACAGUUGCUAAUCUAAAUAAAUUUCAGGUUAAAAUGAAAGGGAGCUCUCGGAAUGUAGUGCAUUUAGAUGUAAAUUGAUUUAAUCUUCAUUUCUUUUCAUAUGAAUGCAACGAUAUGUCCGAAGAGAUUUGCAUGAAGGAUUAAUGGGGAUUUGAACAUUGUUUUGAUUCAUGCCACAAUUUAAGUGUCGUGGUACAGGAUUGUGCCAAGAACUUGCUGGCGUGCCGUACUGUACAGACGUGUGCCUGUCAAAAAACAUACCCAUGCGUCGCCACACUAUGACAUGACAUACUUAUUUUGGUGUCAUGCGGUGCCGAUGUGUGUCAGUCACAAAAAUGCCUCUCUGCGGACGCACUAUGACAUGACAUAUUUAUUUUCGUUGGCAUCAGUAUAUUUUAAUUGCUUGUUAUAUAUUUUUUACACUUUAUUGAGAUAAAUGCUUGCUAGCUUCAAAGAAAAGAAGAUGUCGAGCUCUGCUGUUGACACGAGGGUCGUAUCGCGCAGAUAUCUUGCUGGCAUAGUAUAGCACAGUGGGCACGGCUCGUACCGAUGGGCACUUAAAACCGUGAACUUUCGAAGUUAAGGGAGAUGCUCGAAAAUGAUCUAUAGUAGGAGUUCAUCGGUUUUUUAACCUACAAAACCUGUUAUUUGAGUCUUACCGAUGCAAGUUCCUCGAUCAUGAUAGGCCGGUUGCCGUCCUUUUCGAAAUAUUCGUAUGCGCUGCGAGCAUGCUGCUCCCAGGUAUCCAAUCCUUCCAUUUGAUAAACACUUACGGCCGAAGCGGCGAAUUCUUCAAAAUCAAGCUUUCUGUACUGAAGAGAGCUCACCUGAAAAGCAAAAUCGGACAUGAAUAAGAGCACCAUUUUUCUCAAACUUGUUUAAAAGCAAUUAGGUCUAAGUAUUUGAGCCUACCGUGUUAACAAAAUCAAGAACCCUUGAAUCCUUCAUCGCCUCGGUUGCUUGUUUCAUCAAGGCCUGUAAAUGGCGACUUAUGUUAGAAGCCCGCGAGUGGAAAUAAAUACGAUGAAUAUAGUAAGUGCCUUUUUGGCCCAGUUAGAACUUCUCGCAAAAGCAGUUUCAGCAUAGCAGUUUGAAAAGGUACUCACACCUUUUUUCGUCAAGUUAAAAUUUCCCAACUUUCCACUAUAUGAAAAAUUGAAGUUUCAAAUUAGAGCUUCUGUUUUAGCGACCUUGAAGGCCGCAUUAGCUUCCUGCUAUAGCAAAAGCUCCUAAUUAUGUAUUUGCCAAACACUAGGGCCUGUUUGUUUGGGUGAAAAUGGAGAGAGGGUGAAGCGUUUUCAGCCGUAAACGAUCACUUCUGUUGUUUGUUUCGCCAUAAUAAAGAUACGGUUGAAACACAGAGUUAUCCGAAACAGCGUAAUUGAGUCCGGGCCGAAGUCAAUUACGGUGAAAAGAUGUGAAGGAAAAAUAAUAAAAUAAUAAAAUUAUUUUACUAUUAUAUUAUUAUAGGAAUUAAUUAUAUUAUUGUUAUUUAUUAUAAUAUAAUAAUUUAUUAUUUAUUAAGUUAUUUAUUAUUUAUGUAUAAAUUAUUGUUUUAUAUCAUUCACUUUCUGCCAAACAAACAGCAGAACUGAAGAAACUUUACUUCCAUAACUAUGGAACAAACAGCAAGGGAGAAGUAGUUUUCAUCGAACUCCACUUCAACCCAAAAUCCACUUCACAACUCAAAGUCCAGUUUCGGUGAAACAAACAUGUCCUAAGCUAGUACUACUUUUUGGAGCAGAGAAACUAUUAAAAGAGCCAUUCCAAACAGGCAUUGAAUCACUUACCGCCUUUAAAUUCAGUAAGGAAAUAAAGCCGCUCUUAUUCGGCCCGAGCAAUCCGAACUGUUCUCGGAGAUAGAAGAGCUGGUUCACGGUCAACGUCUUGGCAAGUGCCUGGAAAAUGUUCAAGUAUAUCAAGCUAUGUCAACAUAGUCGAUAAAUUCCAAUUAUUAAAUAAAAAAGGAAACAAUGUUAAAUGAUCGAUUAAAAGAGUUCGCUCAAUCAAUUUCAUGGAAAGGGGAAAAAAAAGCAAAUAAGUCGAUAAUUUGUUAGUAAAUGUUUUGAAAAUGUUUACAUCAAGAUAAACAUCUUCGUUCUCCAUUAAACUAUAGGGCAAAUGAAUCGAAUAUAAACCAAUCACACGGUUCUGAGCAAGCAAAUGGAGGAGACAUUAACAAGUUUUGAAUUACCAUUCGAUAAAAGAAACUGAUAUAUCAAUUGAAGAAACAUUUUAAUAAGAUAUCGCACUUUAAAGUUAAUAUCUACGGCUUUUUAACUACCCACAAGAUCAAGUGAACAAUCAUAAGGCCUGUUUGUUUGCCCGUAAAUAUUUUUCAGAUUGAAAAUGACUUUCAGUUGAACCGAAGUUCGGGUGGAAAAAAAUUUUCCCACCAAUAAUUUCGGAACAAGUAGGAGCAUUUUUUUUUUCUUCUUUUUAAGGAAUCGAUUAGGAUAAUUAAAACCAGGGCGAGGACGGAACAAUCAACAUGGCAUAUUUGUAUAGAGAUUAUAAACUGAUUUUUACCCGCAAAGCUGAUUUCCUUAGAGAAGACGAACUAAUGUAAGCUCUCAUGAGCUUGUAAGUUAAGAUGUCGAGAGGAAUCCUCACUUCUUGAGCCUCGCGAAUCCAAGGAUGGCCUGCGUUUUAAAAUGAAACCAAAGUAUUACUUUUAAGUAUAUAACACUACAUUAAGCAAUCACAAGGCCACGAGGAAUUUACAUAGAGCUUGUGAAGCCGUCAUUCUCUUGCGGUAAUCCUUAUUGAGCAACCUCCUGACGAAGUCUUUCGCUUCGGCAGAGAGGGACGGCCACGGAGGUUCGUCGAAGCUCGGUUCGGCUUUUAGAACUGCUCGGAAUAUGCCCGAUUCGGUGCGGGCCCAGAACGGGCGGCUCCCGCAGAGCAAAAUAUACACGAUUACUCCGAUGCUCCACAUGUCAGCCUCAGUUCCGUAAGAUCGAUGAAGAACUUCCGGCGCAACGUAGUAUGCGCUACCGACAAUGUCAUUAAGCCUUUCGUCUGCACAAUUCGAGUAAUGGGAAAAUGAAACCCAUAAAAUCAUCAUUAAAAUGUAAUAGUUCGAGAGGAAAAAAAGUGAAAUUCCCAAUUAUUAAAAAAAAGAAAAAGAAAAAAGAACUAACCUGGCUUAACAAAGUCAGAUAGGCCAAAAUCUAUGACCUUCAGGGUUGAAUUAUCGUCCUUCGAAGAGAAAAGGAAAUUCUGAACAACCAACAUAAUGGAUUAUCAAACACAGUUCAAACAAGGUACACCACAAUGAAUGUUAAAAGAGUACUCGCGCAAGGGUCAUUUGAUUUAGGCUCAUAAAUAUAUCCACACCAGAAUUUUACUUGGGGCAUAAAUAAGCAUUUUUACCAUUUAUUUUUGAUUUUGCGAUUUCGGUCUAAAAUAUUCUAGCACGGACCAGAACGCCUCUCGCUGAAGCUCUACUACACAACCUUAUGAGCGUUAAAUAAUGUAAAACAAUCAUUAUUCUCCAAAAACUUAAACUACUAGAGAAUGGUAUUUUUAAUGAAUCAUUAUUCUCCAAAAACUUAAACUACUAGAGAAUGGUAUUUUUAAUGUUUAUAUUCAACACUUUCCCUCACAUCUGAGCUCGAGACAUUUUAAUAGGCCCAAGAUGUGGACUUGAAUUAAAUGGGAAGAAAUUAGUAGUACUAAGGGCCUAGCGGGACUCGAACUAAGAACCUCUUACUCUAAUACCAUGUUAAAUAAUGCGAAACAACCGCUAUUCUCCAAAAGACUAAGCUACUAGAGAACGGUGUUUUUAAUAUUAAUAUUCAACAAUCAGAAGAUGGCAAUUAAGUAUUCACUCCAUAAAAGAAAACAUUAGUUCAUAGUGAACCAUAGCUACAAAAACCAAAAAGAAGUGGAUUAUGUUGAAAAAAAAAAAAAAAUCAGAAACAAACAAUUUCCGUAUGAUGUUGUUUGAGUAAUGCAGUACCUCCGGCUUGAGAUCUCGGUGGACGACACCUUGAAGAUGGCAGAAAGAUACGAUGCUCAAAAUUUGAACCAUUACGGCUUUCGCAUCUUCUUCCGAAUAUUUCCCACCCCUAGAAUGAAUAAAAGUUAUUCCUCAUCUAGGAAUAUUUUUAAUGGUUAAUACUUGUACUAAACCAGUACUACUCUUACAUACAACAUGGAAAAUUGGAAAUAAAACAGAUAAUAUAUGAUUACGGAUAUCAAUGUACCUCGACAGUAUCCUGUCCAAAAGUUCACCUCCGGUACAUAACCUGAAUUAAAACAAAAUAGUCAAAAUAAGCUAUAAUUACUCGAACGAAGAAAUAGGUCACACACAUCUUCUGAAACAGUCAAUAGGUCUCAUAAUAGGUCUCGCACACAAACAUUAUAUCGCACUCACAACUCUCAACUACUUUUGACUAUUGGAACCAAACAACCCCUUCGGUACAAGACCGCGACACACAACAUCGAGUUAAUGAUCGAUUUGCAAGUUUGAACCAACGGUUGAACUUGCACACUGAACACUCAAAAGUAUGCAUUUAUAAUUCAAAGUUGCGCACCGAUCAUUUAAAACUAUGUGUACUAGUCUUUUAGUAAUGGAGCAAGUUUGGUACUAAAAGUUGAAAAGUAGACUAAGAAAAUCAUAUCUUUUUGUAAAGAUGGAAAAGAAGAAAAAACAAACACAUUUAAGAAAUAGCACGCCGACUAUCAAAUCACGAGAACGACAGCUGAACCAAAGCUAAUUCUUGUCCACUAGAAGCACGAAUAAGUCUUUCCUAGCAAAAAAUAAUUUCGCCUGUGGAAAGUUGAGAUAGAGCAAAUUUAAAGUAUGUAUUUGUUCAUGUAUCUCACCAUAGAAAUGUCAUAGUUUUAUGCUAAUAAUUUCAAAACCGGAUAAAUUAACUUUCUAGCGAAAACAGUAAGAAAUUGAAAAAGGAAGAAUGAAAUGCGAACUUACUCCAUGAUUAUAUACACAUUGUCUUCAUCCUCGUAAGCAUCAUGGAACUGCACAAGAUUUUUGUGCCCCGAGAGAGAACUCAAUAUUCUCACUUCCCUUCUAACAUCUUCAAUGGAAAUAGCUGUCGUCAUCUGCAAAAGCAUUUUUUUUUCAAUGAAAACAUUUUUAUUUUACAUAAAUUCGGGCAUGCUAUGAUCAUAAAUGGAAUCGAUACUGCAAUAUAUUCAUCAUGGUAUAAGCUUCAAGAAAAUAAAUCGAAAGAUGCAACUCAAUGUUCCUUUUCUUUCCCUGACAUUUAAUCUUCCACUCAAUUCUGAUACUUUUCUUGGUGAGUAUUAGUAUUGAACAAAAGGAGAAGAAUAGGUGAGAAAAAAUAAAUAAAUAUUUUGUUGCGAAUGAUCAUCUUCGUCACAAAAUAUGAAGAUGCAAAUAAACAUCCAAUAGCUAACGGCGAAAGGAGAAGAUACCAGAUUAAUCAUGUGGCGCAAAUAUAUGAACAAAAUGCAGUAUUCCUUAGAUGCGAGCUUUUAUCUUAAAACAAAACGAGGAAGUUGGCUUCUUUUUUCUUUUUUUUUUUUUGAGACAAUGAAGUUGGCAAAAGGUAGUGAUAAUUCUAUUUAAUUUCGCUGUAGGAUCCACCAAAUUGAAAAGGAGAGCUAGUAAAUUCGUGUGUGACUUCGCACCAAACUAAAUGCUAUUACUAACGAACUACAGACAUUUUAAAAAAGAUGGCAAAUUUACUCUGCAGAUCUGGACAAAAAUGACAAAUUUCUUUCAAAGAACAACAAACAAAUUUACGCACUAUAUAACACGAAAGCAAAAAGUAAUCGGAUCAAUAUAGCAAUUUCAACAUCGAUCUAAAUCAUAUAUAUAUAUCUUCGAAACAUGAAAGUAAAAAAGACAAGUAGAUCGCAUACUUCCGAAUUCUUGGAACUCCCGGACUAGAUCACAAAUAUAGAUAUUCAACGCCGAUAAAGAGCAAUGCUAUAGAAAAGAUCGAGAAUUGUAACAUCUCACCGACCUUUGCCUUGGGAAUGACUUUGACGGCGACCUCCUCGCCCUUCAAUUCCCCCUUCUUCGCCCUCGCGGAGCAAGUAUACCCGAAAUGGCCCCUCCCCACCUCCUCCCCGAGAUCGUACUUCGAAAAGAAGUGCUUCGAGAACCCGAAAUUCUUAUCCAACCCUAGCUCAACCUCACUCCCCUCGGGUAUGGAGGCCUCGUUCGGCUUCACCGACCCGUGCCGCCGCGCGAGCAGCGCCUUAAUGUGCUUUGCCGGGGACGGCGGCGGGAAGGGCCGUUUGAAAAGCCGUAAAGGCGUGGAACUUACGCUCGAAUUGGCCGGCGAGCUUUUGUAGGAAGCAGGGAGGGGGCUGGGGAUGUAGAAGGAGAAUUUGGGCUGUUUCGGGGUUUGCGGCUUCGGAGGAGGGAGCUCCUCAAUGGUGGGGGGGUGUUCUACAUGGUUCACUACUGCUUCCUCUUCGGUUUCCGGGGUUUUUUGGAUUGGUUUUCCAUGGCAGAGCCCCAUGGGAGCAACACAAUCACACCCCCAAGUAAAUUGGAUCAAGGGUUUGGAGCCAAAUCACAGGAAAUUGAGCGAAAACCCAGUAAAAAUUUGAUCUUUUUCCCCUCUUCUUGUGGUUUCAACAAAACCCCAGUAAAAUUACAUGACCCUUCACAGAAAAAUAAAUAAACAAGCAAGCAAGAUCAGAGCUUGCUACAUACAAUUGCUGUUGGAAAGGGAAGAGCACAAAAAUGGAGGUUAAAAAUUGCAACUUUUAAAGAUUAGAGAGGAGAGAGAGAAGGAAUGAGAUUACCAAAGUUGGGGCUAAAUCUCCUGCACUUAUCAAUUUGGGAGAAACCAAGAUGGUGUAGAGAGAGAGAGAGAGAGAGAGAGAGAGAGAGGGGGUUGUGAAUUGGUAAAGGCUACAAAUGGAAGAUGCUGAAGAGAGAGAGAGAGAGAGAGGGGGGGGAAGGAAAGGAAAGGAAUCCCCUUUCUUUUGCUUUUUAGCUCUUCUUUGGGGCUGGCUGAGAGUGGCAUCUGUUUUUUGUCAUUAGAGAAGAGGAGGGGAGGGGGAAGAGAGAGAGAAAUUGUUUUUUUUAUUGAGAGAGAGAGAGAGAGUGAGAGAGAGAGAGAGAGAGAGGUAGCAGACUACCUGCAUUGUAUUCAUCUGUAUUGCUCAUUCUUUUUUAAAUAAACUCAGUUAAAAAUACGAAGCAAUAGAAAUUCAAACAUAAGAUUUCGGAUAUUAAUCAUUAAAUUUUUAACCAACAGUACUAAAUACAGUUAGUAAGAGAAAAGAAUUAUUUUUUUAUAAAAAUAAACUCAGCUAAAAGUAUUAAGUAUUUAGGUUUCAAACUUAAAAUCUCGAGUAUUAAUCAUCGAGUCAUUCGCCACCGGCUCUGCUGGAUACGGUCAAUGAGAGAAAUUUUUCUUCUUUAGAGAACGAUAGUAUACUAUCUGUUUUGUUCAUUUUUCUAAAUAAACUGAGCUAAAAAUAUAAAAUAAUUAAACUUUAAAUAGAAAAUUUUAAAUAUUAAUUAUUAAACUUUUAGCCAACUACACCACAUAUCGUCGAUGAGAGAGAAAGAGAAAUUUUUUUUUUUUUAAGAGAUAGAUAGCAUGCUAUCUGUUUUGUUUAUUUUAUUUAGAAAUAAACUUAGCUAGUAAUGUGAAUCAACUAAAAUUCGAACUUAAAAUUUUGAAUACUAAUUAUUAAGUGUUUUACCACUUGCGCUAGGGGGGGAGGAUUAUGAACUGUGAUGAUGUCUCAUUCACAGGCUGUCCUUUCAGCUCCCCCAAAAUGAAAUUGGGAGUUGUUGCACUUGCANAAUUAUUAAAUUUUUAGCCAACUACACUACAUAUCAUCGAUGAGAGAGAGAGGAAUUGUUUUUUUUUAAGAGAUAGAUAGCAUGCUAACUGUUUCGUUUAUUUUAUUUAGAAAUAAACUUAGCUAGUAAUGUAAAUCAACAAGGAUUCGAACUUAAAAUUUUGAAUACUAAUUAUUAAAUUUUUUAUCACUUACGCUAGGAAUGGUCUGUGUGAGAGAGAGAGGAAUUGUUAAUGCUGGGGGGAGGGGGGGAUUGUGAACUGUGAUGAUGUCUCAUUCACAGGCUGUCCUUUCAGCUCCCCCAAAAUGAAAUUGGGAGUUGUUGCACUUGCACUUGCCUUGCUUAAUCCCCCCUCUCUCUCUCUCUCUCUCUCUCUCUCUCUUUCUAGAAACCUCUCUCUCUAUAUAUAUUAUACAUAUAUUCUAUAGUCUCUUUCUCUCUCAUCUCUAUUUUUGUGCUUGAGUAUAUGUAGGAGAGUUGACCUUCAUUUGUGGGAUUAAAAAGGGCUCUCUCUUCAGUAGUUACCUCACUCUAUUAAGCUUGCAUGCCUGCAGGUCGACUCUAGAGGAUCCCCGGGUACCGAGCUCGAAUUCGCCCUAUAGUGAGUCGUAUUACAAUUCACUGGCCGUCGUUUUACAACGUCGUGACUGGGAAAACCCUGGCGUUACCCAACUUAAUCGCCUUGCAGCACAUCCCCCUUUCGCCAGCUGGCGUAAUAGCGAAGAGGCCCGCNUCUCUCUCUAUAUAUAUUAUACAUAUAUUCUAUAGUCUCUUUCUCUCUCAUCUCUAUUUUUGUGCUUGAGUAUAUGUAGGAGAGUUGACCUGCAUUUGUGGGAUUAAAAAGGGCUCUCUCUUCAGUAGUUACCUCACUCUAUCAAGCUUGGAGAAAAAAACAAUAAAUAAAGAAUUGUAAAAAAAGAAGGAAAAAAAAUGGUUUGGCUUGCUUGCCAAGGUAAAAGUAGAUUAACUUAAGUGCCUAAUUGGCUGAAUUUCUGCAAUGGUUUCUUCACUCAAGACAAUAAAAUUUUAGAAUAUUUGAAUAAUAAUAAAAAAGAGAGAGAGAGAGAGAGAGGGGGGGGAAAUAGAAGAAGAAUAUUUGAAUAAUUUAAAGAAAAUAUUUUUUUUUAUUUCUCUCCUAUAAUUAUUGAAAUUAUUUUUCCCAGGAAUACGAAAAUCUACCAAACAAAAGGGUUUGAUACGUUUAUUUUAUAUGCAUUUUGGGUAGAGAAACAAUUUGGUCAGAUUUCUGAAAGAAAAAAAAAUAAAAUAAACAGGCUUAAUUUCCAAAACUGAAAUUAUAAUCAGAACUCACAAAAUCUCAAAAUUACGUACUGAAAUUUCUGCGCAAUAGAGCCUUAAAAAUGUCCAAACUAACAUAUCAUAUGAUCUUUUGGUUUUCAAAUCAAUUAGUGUAUUUUAGAUCAUGAUUUAGUGAAAAAAAAAAAAAAAAAAAACUUAGCUUUCACUUCUCAUGUAAAGAAAUUGUAUGCUAGUGUGGUGAAAUCAAUUAUUGAAAGAAAAGGGAUAGAAAAACCUACUAAAAGAUUAGCUAAUCCAACUUUUAUAUCCUCUUGUAUGCUAGCGUGGGAGCUUUCAAUAAAAUAAAAUAGAAAAUAGCAAAACUUAAGUUUCGAAGCCAUUAAUUUCUCAUCAAACAAACAGCGGUAGAAAAUUAAUUUUUAUAUAAAUUAUAUCUCAACUAAAAGUUAAUUUUAGUAUAAUUUUAGCAAAUAGUUAAGUGUAUGAUUGUUUUCCCACAAACUAGCUCAAAAGAAAGGAAAAAAAAAUCCAAAAAAGGGUAAAAUUGUAUAAAACUUACCUAAAAUAUUUACAAUUUUGAUAUGGUUGGGCACCUAACACUUCAAUUUAUUUGAUUUCGUCAGUCAACGGCACUUUGACUUUAAUUUGUAUAGCUUUACAAAUUUAUUUAGCACACUUCAUACAAUUCUCGUAACUAUAAAUUCAUUAAAAUAAGUAAUCCGCCUAAAUUUUGAAGCUAAAGUAUCGUUGACCGACUCAAAUCAAAUAAAUUAAAGAAUAGAAUUAGUAAAAUCAAAAUUCCAAAAUGAGUCAUAAUUCAGAUAAAUUCUAUACAUUUUUAACCCCCUAGGUUAAAUUACAGAAAAUUUUCUUAUAAAUACUCUCUUUUUCACUUUUCCUCCCUAACUUUCAAAAACUUAUAUUUUACUCCCCUAACAUUUCAAGUUUGUGCAUUUAGCCCCUCCUCCGUCAGGGUUCAUUACUAUUUCGUCUAUUUCUUAUAAUUUAUAUCAAAAAUUUUCUUCAAAAUAAUAGAAAUAUAUUAAAAUUUAUUUUUUUCUUAUAAAAAAAGUAAGUAAUUUAGUCAUUUUAUCCUCUCCAUUAAUGCCGUACUCGCUAAAAUAUUUCCAAAAUUUUAAAAGGUCAAAAUAUAAAUUUUUAAAAGUAAAAAAAAUUUUAAAAAAAUUAAAUAUUUAUAAGAGAGUUUUCUAUAUUUUAACAAAAAAAAAAAAAACAUCACUUAUUAGAGAGAGUGGUAGUAAAUAGUAGCAUUAGUAGUACAAAAUUGUAUGGUGUCUUUUAAUCAGGGUCAUUUUGAUGGGGCACAUGCAGUUUCUCUCAUCUUUGUAUGGAUAUAAUGGUCACAUACAAGUCCCCACCACUUCAUAACUAUGAGUAGUUGGGAGGUGGGGCCCUCUUUAAUAGGCAGUUAAAACUUUUAAUUAAAUGAGGCUAUGCUGUCAGCACCACCCCCUUUGAUGGUAGCUGCAGGCUCCACCUUUCUUCCCCUAUCUAUUUGGGGUGCAUUCUUCCCUGGACCAUGUCUACUGGACCAAGCCAAUCAAAACACGACACAUAGGAUUGUCAGAUCGUCGGUGCUGACCAUUAAUCUCAAAAGCUCGAGCGGUUAGAAACACGCAACUAAUUCACCUAAAACGUACAGAUACAGCACCCACGGAUCUCGAUUGUGACUCAGCUCAAUCAGCCUCACGUAAUUUCGAACGUGACUCGACCCAAUCUGUCCUCCCAUCACCGGACAGGAUGCUGGCACCUUUAAGCCAACAAAGAUAUCCCCCUUCCCCACCCACUUUAGUUAGGGAAAUAUAUUGGACCUGAUUUGCCACAUGGUCUGAUUCGAAAAAUAAUUGUAUCUGAACCUAAUUAAAAUUGUUGAGCAAAUAAUAUAUUUAUUGUCUUAAAUAAAUAUACGAAACUGAUUUUUCAAUAAGUUAGGUUGAAAAUCAUAAUCGAACCAGAUUGGCUCUCCUAGUAUGUACUUUCAAAAGAGAUUCAAUAUAGAUGGUGUAACACUCUUCUAAAAAUCUCUUAUCCAAUCGGUUUUGAUCCGAAACUAGUAAUCUUUUCCUGCAAACCCUAUUUCUCGAACUUUGUUUGCGGUACGCCAAGUUCAUAUAAUAACUUCGUUUUAUACACGAUGAACGACGCCGAGUGGCGGUCCACGGAUGAUGUGGUAGAGCAUAUCCAAUCAACAAACAUGUAUAGUUCAAGCACUAAAUAGGGAGAUUAAAUAGGGUAGACGGGAAAACACAUGCAUGUAAAUAAAGCAUGUGAGGUAGGUUCACUUUUUCAAUGGAGUUGUAUCACACUUCAUAGUACAAAUCUCAAAGCUUGUGCUCUCUCUCUCUCUCUCUCUCUCUCUCUCUCUUCAAAGCAUCCUGGGAGAAACAGCAGUGUGGAAUUUGGCAACUGGUACUAUAAAUAUUGUGGAAUAAGUGUAUGUACUAUGACCUCAUUUUAUAUUUAUAUAUAUAUAUAUAUAUAUAUGUACAUCCAAAGAAUAGAGGAUGGUGGUUCAGAUAAAAGGAAAAGGGCAAAAAAACAAAGGGAAGAAGCAGCAGAAAAUAUAUAUAUUUUUGGAGUAGAGCUGUCAUGUGAAGCUUCACAGAAGAAAGACCUUCCAGUGUCUUCUAGAUGUUGAGUAGAAGAGAAAAGAAAGAAGAGAGAUUUGCAUCUCAAAGAAGCUCAACCAACUGUUUUAAGGGACCAGUUUCACCUAUUGCUUCUACUUUUAUAAGUAUCUGAUUUGUUACAUACUGUUACCUGUCGCUUCUAGUUAAGUGUCUGCUUCGUUCUGCUUCUGAUUUGGCUUGCAGCUAUACAGUUAUAGUUAUUGCUGGUAACUGACGGCUUUUGCUAUUAUGCGAAGCUGAAAUUAGAUUUUGAGCCACAGAAGGAUAAGUUGUGAUUUUGUGCUACUGGCUUUGCACUGCAGGCGAACCAUACAUGCCUUAAAAAGUGUUUACAUGAGUUGCUCAGAGGAACCCAAAUAAUACUUCUAUUUAGUUUGUUCCAAUAGGUUUUUGUUGCAGCUAGAAGGAGCAGAUGCUCCUUGUCGCAUAGAAGCUCCAUUCUAAUUUCUUUUUUCAUGGAUAGAAACAUCAAAUUUGAAUGUUAAACUUUUUCUCUCGACUAAAAAAAUAAGUAGAAAUUUUCUUUUGUCGGCUAAAUUUCUGACAUAGGCCAUCCGUAGAAUGUAGAUAAAUAAGAUAUAAUGUGAUAUAAAUGAUAACAAUACCUUUUUUCUAUAAUAAAAAAAGAAAAUAUAUGACACAAAAGGAAAUAAGAGAAUCAUUUAUAGAGGUUAACAACUUUGUUCUUCAAAAUCUCAAGUUAUUAGAAAGUACUAUUUUUAAUAUUUAUAUUCAACAUUCGUACUUACAUCUGGGCUUGAUAUCUUUUGUUACACGCACUAGAAUUAAACAAAAAAGAAAUUAAAUAAAAUUAAUAGUUUGACAGAUAUUUGAAUUUAGUAUUUUCUGUUUUGAUAUCAUACUAAAUAAUCUUUUGUCUCCAAGGCACCCCUUUUUUCUUUCCUUACACCCUGUUCGGUUAGGCCCUGUUUGGUUCGGGGGAUAAACGGGGAUAACGAAAGUUAUCCUCGCUAUUCCGCCAAACGGAAUCAUUUUUUAUCAGGAUAUUUUAUCUCGACCAAAGCUUGCUAUUCCCGGUUAUCCCGGAAUAGCAAGCUUUUUACUAUUCCACCAUUUUGGUGGAAUAGUGUUAUUCCAAUGCUUAAUUUUAAACUUAAUUAAAAUUAUAAAAUGAAUUAAAACUAAAUCAUAUAAAUUUAAUAUAUUAUAUAUUAUAAUACAUUAUUUUUAUUAUGAAAUUAUUAAUUGUACUAUAUUAAUACAUAUUAUUUAUAUUUAAAUAUUGUAAUAAAUUUUAUAAUAAAUUAUAUUUAAAUAUUAUAAUAAAUUAAAAUUUAAAAUUUAAAUAAAUUUAAUUUCUCUCUAUAUUUAAUUGAUAUUUUUUUUUUUAAAAUUUAAAUUUGAUCUUAAUUUAAAGUUUGAAUUUAAAUAUUUAAAAUUUUGAAUUUAAAAUUGAGAUUUUAAUUUUAAUUUUAUUUCAAGCAUUUAAAAUUUAAAGUUUAAAAUUUAUAAUUUUUAAAAUAUAAUAUUAACUAUAAAAAUUUAAAUUUUAUAUUAAAUAAAGGGAUAUAUUAUAUUUUUAAUUUAACUACCCUUUAAUUUUUAUUCAAUCUUACUCCUAACAACACUAUUUUUUUUAUUCUCAGAAUAAUCGAAUUUUAAUCAAGCAAAAUUUGAUCUAAUCCCCGUUAUACCUCACUUAUACUAUCCCUGGAAUACCCUUAUUUGCUUACCCCGAACCAAUGAUUACUUAGGGGCUAAAAAGGGGGGUAAGGGAUUAAUCCCCCUAAACCACUCGCGGCCCCCCCCCGCCCCCGCCCCCUCCCCCACAAAGAAUAGGGUGGGGUAAGUUAAUCCCGUACCCCUAUUUAAUUUUUAUAUAUUGUUAAAUUAUAUUUAAAUUAUUAAAUCUUUAAAUUAUAAUCUAUGUACAUCUUAAAAUUAAUAUUAUAUUUUUAAUUGAUUUUUAAAUUCUUAAAUUUAAAUUUAAAUUUUUAAGUUUAUAAAUUUAAAUUUAAAUUGUUAUUUUUGAUUUUUUAAUUUAAUAUUUUGUAUAUUUGAAAUUUAAAAUUAUAAUUUGUAAUUAUUGAAAAUAUAUUAUUUUAUUAUUUAUUUAGAAAGUUAAAUUUUUAUAAUUUUAUUUUAAAAUGUUUUUGUUAAUAUUUAUCAUUAGUAAUGAUUUUGUUAGUUAUUUAAAUUUUUAAAUUUGAGAUUUAAAAAUAAAUUUUAAUUUUGAAUACUGUAAUUUUAAAAGUUAUCUAUUUAAAUUAAAAAUUUUAAAUAUAAAAUAAAAAAUUUAAAUUCAAAUAUAAAAAUUAGGGCAAAAUCAUUAUUUUCUAUUUAUAACAACACACUAUCCUUCUUAUUCCAUCUACUCCAACCAAACACUAUUUUACUUAUACCUGAACUAAAUGCAAUUCUCAACCAAACACAAAAUUACUCUAACCCCACCUUAACCCUGAGCUUAAUUCUAUCACUGAAAUAACUAGUUCUUACUUAAUUCCGAACCAAACGAAGCCUUAGUGACAACAACUAAAAUAAUACUUAAAUAGUUAGUGACAACAACUAAAAUAAUACUUAAAUAGUACUAACACCAAUACAAUAAUAAAAGAGUGAAGAGAAUUUCAUUGGGAGGAUGAGAAAAUGAAAGGGUAGUGCUUGGUGUUUGGUGGCCUAGGGCAUUGUGUGACCCAUGCAAAUAUUAAUAGCCCCAUUCACAUAAGCCAAACACAAGGAUCUCUCUCUCUCUCUCUCUCUCUCUCUCUCUCUAAGUCAUAGGAACCCACAAAGAAUGGGAGGUGGAGGAAUAUGUCAGUGGAUUGUGCACCUAAAGAAAUGCCCUAAUUGGUUCAAUUCACAAGGUGGGUCCCACAAGAAGGGGACUAUUAUUAUUGGGGAAAGUAAACUACAAGAGAGAGAGAGAGAGAGGAGGGUGGUGUAAGACAAAGGCAUUUUUUCUCUAAAGAAUAAAGCUAAUAUGAAAAAAAGUGAGGGGGGAGGGGGAAUGGCACCAAAGGGAAGCAAAGCACUUAGAAGGGGAGGGAAAAAAAAAAAGAAAAAAAGAGUGAGGAGUAAAGCUAUAGGAGGGGAGUGAAUAAAAAAAUAGCUAAAGGGAACAUGGAGUAACAUGGAGUACAGGUACUUUGAUGCCAUUGCAAGGAAGCAACCCCCUCUUUGGGAGGCUUAGAAAUGGCUCUUGUUACCACCUAGUAGAAGCUAAAUAACAAUAAUAUAAGUAGCUAAAGAUUCAAUCACAAGAAAUAGAAAAAAAAAAAAAAAAAAAGGAGAAGCAGCAGAAGCAGCAGCAGCAAGAUGCAUGGAAGACAGACUGAUAGACUCAAAGAUAAGAAAAUCUUUGAUUAUUUACUCGCGAAGUAGAUUCUUGCGACUUUGAAAAGCAAAAAAAUUAUCCUAAAAGUCAGGCUAAAUAAAUACUAAUGAGUUUUUUGAAUGUUAGAAUAAGUCAUUCAGUAAUUACUUGUUAAGUAUGAAGACAAAAGUUUGUCGCCUAUAUUUUAACAUGAUAAUUUUUUUUUUAAUCUCCGAUGUGAUUUAUGUUAUUCUGAAUAAAUGAUGAUGUUUAUGCAUUUAAAUUGGCCCAUAAUUUUAUAUCAUUUGAAAGUAAUAGGGUACCUGUAGAAGACUAGUAAACCAAAAAAAAAAAAAAAACAACAACACUUAUUGGAUACACUUUCUUGUGAGACUUUACAUUGGUCAAACUUGAAAAAGGGAUAAGAGCAUAAUCAUCAUCCAUAAUUCCAUGGUUGGAUAAUAAUGAUUGUGUUUAGAUCCUUCUUUUAGAGGGAAUGAUGGGAUUUUUUUCACAAGGUCAAAAUCCUUUUUAGCCAAUAAGAAAUUAAAUCUUUUGCUCAAGUACCAUUUUCAGAAAAAAAAGAUAUAUAUAUUUAUAAUAAAUUAAAAAGGAAAAAAAAAGAAAAAAAAAAGUUGGUGCAUUUCCAAAUUUCACCAUCAAAGGUUAAGAUAAUCCCAACCAACCACCUAAAAUUAAUUAAAGAGAAAAGAUGACUCUUAUCCUACCAAUGGGGUAUUAAUUAACUAGAUUCAGUAUUCAACACACAUGUGAAUCCCUUUGAAGGUUAUGUUAAAUGACAAAGACCUAAUAAACUUCACCAUUAAUAAUCUCCUUAGUUGUAAUUAUUUGAUCAAAAUUUUGUGAUAAGUAAUAUAACAAAAAAAGAAAGAAAGAAAGAAAGAAAGAAAAUGUAUGCAUUAGUAUAGAGAUGAGUAAUAGAAUAAUCAAGAGAAUUAAAAAAUAUGAAUAAAGCUACUAUGCUUUUUGAAGCAAGAAGCCCUCUGUGCUUUCACUUUGUUUUCGAUAAUGGAAUAUUCGAAUCGAUGGUCGACUCUCUUAGACUUGAUUAAUACUAUUUAAAGUAUAUAAAAGUUAAAUUUUUUGAUUUUUCGAUGUCAUUUACCUGGUCGUUGAAACGUUUUAAAAUUCAACUAUUUUAAUGGUCGAUAAGAGAUUGUCACAAGCUUAACGGUGCAGAAGUAUCCAAAUUUGGUGAAAUUUUGAUUUUUGUUUUUUAACUAUCUACAGUAAGAUUAGUAUUUUUGAUCUAAAAUUUAAAUUUUGUAUCCUUACUUUUUAUGAGAUUUUUAUUUUUAGUUGUUCAUUUUAGAACCACUCGAUCACAAGGUAGAUGAUGUCGAAAAAUUAUAAAAUCUAACUUUCAUAUACUUCAAAUAGUAUAAAUUAAGUUUAACAAAGCCAAUCAUCGAUUCAAAUGUUUCAUAAUAAAAAAUAAAGUGGAAUAUAAAGACCUUCGUGCUUCUAAAAGUAUAAUAGCCAUAUUCCUAUUAAUUAUAUACACAUGAAAUCCUUGUGGAGGUUAUGUUCAAUAACAAAGACUAAUUAACUACAACACUAAUCAUCUUCUUAGUUGCAAUUAAUGAUCAAAAUUUUGUAAUAAGUAUAAACAAAAAAAAGGGGAAAAUGUGUGCAUUAGUAUAGAGAAGAGUAAUAAAAUAAUCUAGAGAAUAAAAAAAAUAUUCCAUUCCACAUGGAUUUAUUAAAGUGGAUAGUGAUAUCUCUCUAAGUGGUGAGAACCCAUUUGUUCAUUAGAAAUUUAACUUGUGUAUAAAAUAUGGACUAGUGUGAUCAAAUAAUUUGACCAAGAACAAGAAGGAUUUGAUUCUUGAUUUGCAUGUAUGUAGGUCAUGCAAUCAACUACUCCAGCUACUCUAAAAAUUAUUUUUUUUCUCCAUUUUUUUUAUUUCUUAUUUUAAUUUUUUUUCUUACACCAAUUCAAUAUGUUAAGUCUCAACGUGAAAUUCCAACCAGACACAUAAUAGAUCUGUCAUAAGAUCUGUCGUACAGACAGAGUCUCUCCUGCAUCGGGUCGUUGACGCUAAAUAUUAAUCCAAAAGCUCGAGCUGUUAGAAAUACGCAACCAACUCACUUAAAGCGUACAGAUACAGCAUUCACCGAUUUUUGAUUGUGAUUCGGCCCAACCAACCUCACGCCCACUUCGAACAUGACUCGAUCCAACCCGGCCUCUCGUCAUUUCGAACAUAACUCAGCAUAACCUAACCUCCCGCCGUAAAGUAGAAUGCUGGUUCCUUUAAGCACCCUAUAUACAAUUUUAUAAUUUAUAUAAUGCAAAGAAAGUACUCUUCAAGAAGGUCCCUAAUUUAGCCACAAUUCAAUCAGAUCCUCUCACAUACAAAAACUUAUAUCUAUUUCGAAAAUAUUGUUAAUUAGCACAAAACAUUUCAAAAAUCUGGAAAAGUAAUUUGUUCAAAGUUUCAUUAGUCCUUUUUAUAUUUUGUGAUCUUGUGAUCAAUGAGACAAAACCAAACUGCUGGCCUCACUGGAUCGGUUCGUCGAUCGAUUGAUCGAUCGGUCAAUCAGUCCGUUCUGUUGGCGUAUUUGUAUAAAUAAAUCUAUCGUCGUCGUCGCCAUGCUCGCGAUUGCUUGUUGAUUAAGUAAAUCUUUGCAUAUUAAUAUAUAAAUUGCACAAAAAUUAUUUGCCAAAGUGAUGCAUAGUUAAGUUGUUCUAUAAGUUAAAAUUGACCAUCCAACAAUUUUUUUCUUUUUUAUUAUUAUUAGGUUAAAUUACAUAAAACUCCCUAUAAAUAUCUAUUUUUUCACUUUUCUUUCAUGACUUUUAAAAAUCUAUAUUUUGCCCUCUUAAAAUUUCAAAAAUAUUUUCAGAAAGGUAUCACAUUAGUGGAGAGGGUAAAAUAACCAAAUUGCCCCUAAUUCUUCUAUAAACAAAUAAUUUUUAAUAUAUUUCUGUCAUUUUAAAGGAUAUUUUCGGUAUAAAUUAUACAGAAUGGACGGAAUAGUGAUAGAACCCUGACGAAGGGAUGCUAAAUACAACAACUUAAAAUGUUGACGAGAUAAAUAUAUAUUUUUGAAAGUUAGGAAGAAAAAAUAAAAAAAAAGAUAUUUAUAAGCGGAGGUUUUAUGUAAUUUAGCCCUAUUAUCAUUAUUAGGAAAAACUUCAAAUACAACUCCUGUGGUUUCACACUUUCUCACUUUAGUACCCUGUGGUUUAAAGUGUAUCAAUUUAAUACCCUAUGGUUCCAUUUUUAUCUUUUUAUUAUCGAUUCCACUAAUUUUUUUCGUUAAAUCAGUGACAAAGUUAAAACUAAAGGGUACUAAAGUGAAUAUUCGAUAAAUCUAGGCAGGGUAUCUGAAGCUUUUUUGUAUAUAAUUUAACGAAAUAUUAACGGAAAAGCUGACGAAAAGAUAAAAAUGAAACCACAGGACACUAACUUGAUAUUUUUUAAACUAUAGGGGUACUAAAGUGAGAAAGUGCAUAAUUAGUUAAUUUGGAUUCCGCAAAUAUUCGGUAGAGUGUAAUAUGCAUAAAAUUCGUUUUCUAAUUUUUAAAUUUGUUGAAAAAUUCGGCUUAAAAAACGAACUCGGUAUAAAAUACAAAAUAUAAUAUAUAAAAUAUAAGAUAAUCUAUAUUUAAAUAUAAAAAUUAUAAGUUUUUUAUUUAGAUUUUCAGUAAUUCGGAAAUAAUUCGCGAAUUAUUCGCAAUUAUUCGGCUAGCCUAAAAAUUUACGAAUAAUUUAUUUUCUUUGAAAAAAAUUUGUAAACAGACCAUUUAAUUUGAAUCUUCAAUAAUUCACAAAUAAUUCGCGAAUUAACUAACAAAGGGUAUGAAUCACAUGAUACAACAAAAUAUUGUAGUUUGGUGGGCCCUCACAUUGUUUUGCUGGUGAGAGAGCUGCAGUUGCUGCAAAGAAACUCAACACCUUCCAAAGAAAUUCUUGUUGUGUGUUUGUUUUGAUUAAUUGAAUUUCCCUUCAAUAUUAAUUUGUGAACUUCAUGUGGAGUACCAACCAUUGCAAUUAAUGCUUUAGAAACAUCAAUACUUAGGGCAAAAAUGUAUGGAAAACCCCCCUCAACUAUGAGCCAUUUUAAAAUGGCAAAAAAAAAAAGAAGAAGAAGAGAUCGAUGCUUUUUUUAAAAAAAAAAUUAACAUUAAUUUUACAUGAUUUGGUAUAUUGGUAGGAGGACUCUUUUUUUUUUUAUUGUGGUUGAUUAGCUAAAAUACAAAAAAGCUUUAUGCUCGUGAGACUCCACAAUUUGGAAUAGUUUUACAUAUAAAGAAUAAUAUAUAGGACUAACACUUCUUAAUUCAACUAUAAUAUUUUGGACUGCGGCUAGGCUUAAAAGGUUAAAAGAGUUACGCAUGCUAGGGUUAAAGUAGUCCUAGGAUGAGUGACCCUUUUGGAAAGUGGGGCAUCACAGUUGAUAUCAGAGCCAAUUAUCAACUAAAAAUGUAAGAUGAUUGAGUCUUAACUGAGUCAGAAUUAUACAGCGGGCAGAACAAGAUUCUUUGGCUGAUGGCUGUUAUGAGUGAGGCGCGAUCUCCUAGAAGGUUUUUUAAGACUAAUGAGACGAGCCUCAUAUUGACUGGUACUUGUGAGUGUGUCUAAGCCUGAGAAAGACGUCAAAGUUUAAAAGGGGAGAGAAUGUGUGAUCAAGGUCUUAGAAUAGUCCUAUAUAUAAGGUACAACAAGAGAGUUAAGCGAGUUAAGUGUGCUAGGGUUAGAGUAGUCUUAGGCUGUGUUUUGUUGGAAGGAUAUUCCAGAACAAGGUGGGAUAUCCUCUAAUCAAUACCCAAAAAACAGAAAAAAAAAAAAGAAAAAAGAAAAAAGAAAGGAGGAUUUGUUGUUCCAGGCUUAACGGGUUGUUCCCGGAACAAUCCGUUAAGCAUGUUCUCCUCGUAUGGGAGAACUAGAGGGAACAAUUUGGGAUGCUCUGUUAGUUUUACAUUUUGCCCUUGAAACCCUUCCUCAUCGGGAUGUGUUUAGGAAUUUUUUUCUAGAGAUUUUUAAAAAAAAUUUAUAAGAGCCACACUAUUUUGACAUAUUAAUAUUUAAUUUAGUAAAUUAAAAAAAAACGAUUGAAUGAUUAAUUUAAUUUAAUAAGUGCUGUUCCAUUUUAGAUAGUUAUAUUUUAAAUUAGUUUCGAAAAAAAAAAUUUAAAUUGAAUACUACUAAACAUUAUUUUCAAAAUAAUGUACAAAUAUACUUAAUUUGUAAAUUAAUUUAUUUUAAUACUUAAUUUAUUAUAUCAUAUUUGAUUAUUAUAUUCAAGGGCAAAUUUAUCAUUCUAUUUAAUUUUUAUCUUUCCAACACCUUAUUUCAACAUAAACAUUCAAAUACUAUCAAGAAUAUUCUCUAAGAACAAACAAACAACAUCCAAACGUAAUUUACAACUUGUUCUAGCUUAUACCGGAAUAUCCCCUGUUUUCGGCCCUGUUUUCGGAAACAACAAAAGUUGUUCUCCAAAAUUUAGUUCUCAAGCCAAACGCAACCUUAGAAUAUAAUAUUUUGAGAGUUGGCUAGGCCGAAGAGAUUAAAAGAGUUAAGCGUGUUAGGAUUAAAAUAGUUUUAAGAUAGAUGACCCUUCUGGAAAGUGGGAUGUCACAAUACUUCAGCUUGAUACUGGUUUCAACACACUGAACCAAAUUAAUCUGAUGAGAUCAAUUAGAAUAAGGUAAAGUUAGGUCCUUUUUUCCCUUUUUUUCUUAAGCUUAGUGGACAAUCCUACUUCAUUAACUAAACCACUAUUUCACUAACUACAAGUAUAUGGAUGUAGUUUUUGGAAUUUAGUAUGUGUGUAUAUGGGUUAAAUAUAUGUAUGCAUGUAGUUGAAUCCAUCAAUAAGCAAAUGGGUUGUUUAAGUAAUAAAUGCAUUACUUUAUUUUAGAAGCACCCCUAAAAUCUAUAUUUAAUUGUUGUAGUAUAGUUUUCGAUGUUAGAAUGUUCAAAUCGAUAAUUCAUACUAUUAAAAUUGAUCUAGAAUAUUCGAAGUUUUUAGAAACAAAAUUUUUAUACAUUUUCGACAUCGUUUCUUAUGUUCAACUGUCUCAAAAUUCCUAGUUUUUAACCGAUGAGUUUGUAAUUUAACAGUUUAAAGGAAUCUAAAUUUAUUAAAUGUUUGAUAAAAAAUAUUUUAAAUUAUCUAAAUCAAGAUCAAUACUCUUGAUCUUGAAUUUAAAAAUCAUAUAUCUUCAAUUUUAAAGGUUAUUCUUUUUUACCGUUCAUUUUGACAUGAUUUGAUCAUUAGGUAAAAGGCAUAAUAAAACUUGAAAUUUUAUUUUUAGAUAUUUUAAAUACUCUAGAUUUUAUUUAAUAAUGUGGGUGGUUGAUUUGAACACCCUCAGUUCAAAAACAAGACUAUAGUACUGAAGCCCCUAUACUAUAGAUAAUACAAUA
rnacentral:lncRNA from 1 species